ACGGGGUACCUUUACGACCUUCCAUAUUACUAGGAAAAGUACCACAAAUUUUUUUUAUUUAAACAUAUAACCAAAGGUCGUAGCAAAUGUCGUCCCAAUUAGCAGCCCUUUAGAAUCUUUGAUUUUGACUUGAACCAAUUGGCAUUCCAUUUUACCGGGCCCUUGUCAAGACUCCAGACGUGUGAUGUAUCCAUUUUUCCUCCUUUGCUUUUGUCUAAACCAAAAAAAUUCAUUAUUAAAUCCAUCCAUUAACGAGGAGCAAUCUAAGGUUUAGCAAACCUCUCUAUGACUGAGUACCCUUUUAGUGUUUUAAUUAAAGAGUAAAUGAUUAACACGUUUACUUUACUCAAGUUGGAAUUUGAUUUUCUGAAAUUUAUUUCAUUCAAAUCUAUCUCUAUGUAAAUUGCAAAAGGGGUUUUUAGAAUGAUCAAGUGAUCGUGCUUCCAACUAUUUAUUAUUUCAAUAAAAUUUUGAUUUUUUUAAUUAUUAAAUAUCCCUUCAUGCCUUUUAAAUUUAAAAACUAAGAAAUGACUCCACUAAUAUAGAAAUUUUUAGUUUGAAAUUUAUUCAUCGGAGGAUAAAUAAAGAUGAAGCAUCCUAAGUCCUACUAAAAGUAAAACGGUAAAGAACAAAUAUUUUACUCUUCAACUCAGCAAUACUAAUUAAAAAGGCAAAUUAUAUAAAAAUGAAAAAAAUAAAUAAUGGUACUAUUCUUGAAACCUAAAUUAUGAAAUCACUAAAUUGAAAACAAAGUCCUACUAGCCCUUCAAGGGAAAAAAAAAUUAUUUUUGAUAAACAAAUAAUAAAAACAACACCAACCUCGCCAAAAAUAAAAAAAAUAAGUAACAAUAUAAUUUAAGAUAAAGAUCUAAAUCAAUUUGUACAUAUCUGAUUUAAAUUUGACCCAACCACUAAUAUUAACCUUCAGCAUUAAUGAUUAUUUUGUAUAUUUUUAUUAUAUUUUGCGAUUAUCGAAUGUAUUAUAAGAUAUUAUCAAUUUUUUAUUUGUACUUUCAAAUGCUAGUACUUGCAACCAUUGUGGUCAAUUCUUGGUUUUAUAUAGUUUUUAUAUUGUGAAAGGUAGAGUUAAAUAAUAUUCUAAAAAUGUUAAACCAAAUUGCGAGUUAUGCGUUUUUCUUUUCUCUUGCUUCAAAUUUCACCUUUCAAUUUAGAGGAUGAAUAGGAAUCAACUAUAAACUUUUUGACACCAUUCAGUCCAAAUUUAUAUCACAACAUUUAAACGUUGUUCUUUUAUUUUGAAGAUACAAAAGUAAGUAUAUUUUAAAAGUGUAAAAUUAAAUUGCAAGUUAUGUCAGGAUGCCAGUGGUUCUAAAAUUGUUUAAAGCCGAAAUUUUCUUUCUGGAAUUUGACGUAUCAUUAGUGUAAUUAAACACUCUAAAUCCAAAUUUGCACUGGUACGACUAUUAACAUCUAGCUCGCUGGUUGAUUCUCAUUGAAAUAAUUCAUUCGGACUGUGACAGACAACAUGCUCGAAGAAGCUUGAAGCAUCUAGAUCCUCAUCAAUCCCAACCAGAGUUUCUGUUCAUGCAACUCCAUCAUUUUAUUAUCAUUUCAUUUCUAGUGGAAUUAUCCGUCUCAUCUUGCAAGCCUAGCCUUAGCUAAAAAGACGGUUACACGCUAUUGAUCGCAAUAUCGCACUUUCAUCUCAUCGCAUUGUUUCAGAGUUUCGGAUUGGAGUAUCAACUAUCAAUCAUUUGUUUCAAGAUUUUAAAAACUAGAACCUGAUCAUGGUGUCCCCCAACGGAAACAUAUAAAAUUCGCAGCUCUCAAGUACUAAUAUUUUGGUUACGAAGUCAGUCCAAAUAUUUUUGUAUAUAAUUACAUAAGAAACCAUUUUAAAUAGUCUUUACUAAUAAUUAAAAGAAAAACAGAAUUUAGCUUCCAUACAUGUAUUUUUUGAUGUUUUUUGAACAGGGUAUAGGCGGGUCGAUUUUAAUAAUCAAUAUAGAUUGGAGUCUUCUGUUUUAUAUGAGCACUGCACAAACUCUAUACAAUCACUUGCACUAAUCAAUUUUAACGAUACAUAUGUCCUACACCCGUCUACCCGACAACCUAAUAUACAAUAAAAUGCAUCACUUUCUCGUGCCAUUCAUUCGUGUUAUUGCAAGUAAGACUGCAUACGAGUCGAGCCAUUAGCAAAUCGAUUGCAAGCAACUCAAGUUCGACCAAUAUCGACUUCGAAUCGAGUUCUAACUGAUCAGAUCAAAUUCGAAUUCAAAAAUAUUCAAUUCGUUAGCUCGCGAGUCUCUAUAAGGAAUUUCAUGAGGCCUUUAUGAGAAUUUAGAAAUCCGGCAUUUUGAUUUUUUUUAUUUUAAUAGUGAAAUUACAUAUAUAUAUUCAUAAUAUUUUAUUAUUUGUUAAGAAAAAUACUACUUUAUUCAUUUUUUGAAAUAAAAUUAAUUAUUUCUUUUAAACUUGAGUUCGACCUCAACUCAGCUUUAAUUUGAGGUUGAAUUCAAGCUCGAGAUUUACAUUAAGAGCUCGUCGAAUUCGAGAUCAAAUCCGAAUUUGGUAAAAUUAAGUUAACACUUAAUUUGAUUAAACCAAAGUUUGAUUUGACUCGAAUCAUUUGUACCCCUAAUUGCAAACAAAGUAUGGACAGGGAGUUGUAAGGUGGAGAGUAACAAUGCAAAGAAGCAAUUAAGAAAUAAGCUAAUUCUGGAGGUAGAAUUAUUUCUUAAAAUCUUUUUUUUCUUGUCAAAUAUUUAUUAUCCCAAAGGGGGUUGGUUCUAAGAUUUUCAACCCGCAAAAUAAGAUCAGAAAGAAAGAAAGAAGAGAUAUGUUACUGUGAAAGAGGACUGACUCUCGGAGGCAGUAGUGUUUUAAAAACCUUUGUCGAAGGCUUCGUCUUGAGACAGUCAUACUUGAAAUGCCCCAAGGCAAUCCAAUGCUCUCAAACGCCCCAAAUAAUAUAGAGAAGUUUGAGACUCAGAUUAAUUCGGUUUGUUGCAACGAGAAAAUGGAAAAAAAAGAAUUAUAAAACCUCACAAGUAAUACAAUGAUUAAGAAAAACCUCACAGCUUUGUGGUUUAUUAACCUAUACAUUUUACGACCUUGUUUGGAUUGUAAUUUUUUGAAGAAAAUUUUUUGCUCAUUCUAUAAAUAUUCUUUCUAUUUAUUUUUUAAUUACUUUUGUACCUCAUAUACAUCAUAUCUUUAAAAAAAUACCAAAAAAGAGUACUGCAGGAACUUCUGAAUUUUGGAAGAGUUUCAAGUUUCUUCUCAACUUUGAUCAUCAAUUUGUUGAUUAAAAUUUAUAUAAUUAGUUGAUAUUUAAUAAGUAUCGGAUUUUUAUGAAACAUCUUAUCUAAUUAUCUGCCUUUUUAAAGCCCAAAUCUCACGGUAAGUGAAAAGAAAUUGUAAGACCUAAAACGUGGUGGUACCUUGUACGUAAGUGUGAAAAGCUAGCGGUACUAUUGAAUAAGAAGUGGAGACAACCAGUGGCAAUGGGGCAUGCAAUUAUACGUGGUAUUAGUACGACAAUUUCAACGGUUAACAGUGAAAAAAGGAAAGAUCCAGACUGACCUUGGGUAUAAUUUCAAAAACCCCCUUGAGGUUUUUCAUAAUUUCAAUGACCUCCCUUAAAAUUUGAAAAAUUAUGUUGAUCUUCCCUGACAGAAUAAAGGACCCAUUUGCUAACAUCACCUAACAUGAAAUUACUCAUGUAUCCCAACACAUAAUCUGAGACUAGAAACUAAAAUUUGAGAAUUAAGUAAUUAUGGCACAAAUCAAUUAAUUAAUGGUAUUAUCUGUGUUAAUAGCAUGAACAUUAAUGUGGAAUAUACAAAAUGGCGCAAAUUUGUUAGCAAUUGGUGUCAUUUUAUGAUUGACAGAACUUGACAUGACCAUAUUUCAAUCAUAUUCAAGAAAGGCUCCAGUAGAGCAAAGGAAGUACAGAGAAAAGAAAUAAAAAAACAAGUUUUUUUUAUAGCAUUUCCCCCCUUAAUUUAGAAACCAAACAAAUAGCCUUUGUAUUAAAGUACUUUCGUGGAAAUGGCCAAGAAAUGAGGUAGAAAAAAGGCAAAAUUAGAAAUUCUUUUCUAUGCAAAAUCACAAAAAACAUAGCCUAAAUUAGGUAAAUAAUCUCUACUGUUAUCAGUUUAAUAUUUAAAAGUUAUACUUUAAAUUGAAAAUCAUGAAAUUUUUUGAGACAAUCAUAACUGUAACACACCUUGACUGAUAAUUGUUUUUGCUAAUACAUCUUGACCAGAUGCAUAAAAGGGACAUUUGUGGAACAAAAUUUCCAUCUCUCUCCCGAAAGUAAAUUUUUUUAUUAUACUAGACUAAUUUUGUUACCAAAUCAUAACCUCAAAGGAGGUUAAUGUAAUUUGUCAAACUUCAGAGAAGAUCAACGAAAUUAUUAGAAACCUCAGGGGAGAGGUUUCUGAAAUUAUCUCCAGACCUUAUUAUACAAAAAACUGUACAAGUCCUUCACUCAAACUGCUAGGAAGACCACCUCCAAACAAAAAAAAAAAAAGCGAGGAAGACCAGGGACUUCAGAUUAUCUACUCAGAUUGAAGACAUUCACGUUUGAGCUUGUUGUUUCAGAAAUGCUCAUUGUAAUAAAAAAAAAAAAAUGCUCAUUUUGUCUGGCCACCAACGAAAAUUUAGGUUGUGUUUGGAUUGCAUUUUUCGUCAUUUUUCAUGGAAAAAUUACUGUAGUGAUUUGAUAUAUGUGAGGGAAAAAGGUGAUAGGAAAAUGUGAUCACGGAAAACGACAAUAUUUUCCGACGAAAACAAGCAAUCCAAACAAGGCAUUAGUCAAGUGGAAGUAAUUUGAUAAGUAAUUAUGAUUUUGGCAUACAUCAUGAGGAGAAAUGGAUUAAUUCUCAGUGUCAAGAGUACACUUUUUGUUUGGUGUGCUUGAGACUUUGCUCGUUAAGUGUAAAGUUCAUGUAUUGAUAUCAACACUUCACUCAGUCACUGUUGAGGAUAGCCCAUGUUACAGAACAACCACGUGCGCACAGACUAAGAUCAGAGCCAGUGGCAGUAGCAAUAGUGCCAGGCUAAUAGUACUUGUUUAGUGCUAGUCCCCAGGCCCUGUUUGUUUCAAAAGAGAGACAAGAAUGACAUAUGAAGCUGGAUGACAUGCCCUCUGUGGCUCUCUCCCGGCUUUUUGAAUCAAGAAAGGAUAUAUAGCUGGCGGCGAUGACCAUUACCAAACUUUCCCCCACAAUGUUUUUCGAUCAUGGCAACAAGUACUUCCGCAUGUAGCUGCCCCCAGGUAAGGAAAGGCUGUAUCGGGUGGGGUUUUGGUACGGCAAAAAAUUUAAAUUUAGCAGCUAAGAUCCAGUCGAGUUUAUGUUAUCUGAUUAAAGCCGUAAAUUAUACUUUGAUUGCAAAUGCACAGUUUCUACAAUUUAGACUGAGACACAUCUUUGGAGGUGUAUACAGGGUACUCAUUUCACAUUAUGAUUGAUUUUUUGAAGGAAAAAUAGGUGUAUGGCUUCAUCAUGGCCAAGAGUCUAACUGUUCAAACCCAAUCUCAAAAAAUAACGAGUGACAGAGGGAGUGAGAGAGCACAAUGAGCGUCACAUAUGUUCAAUUUUUCGAUUUAUAAAGAUGCAAUAAAGACAGGAUUUUUUGUUUUGCUGGUCCUUUCUGUAGGUCCAAAUAAAACUUGGCAAAUUUCUUUUAUAAAUUUCUAAACUAGAUUUAAAAUUUUUUUUAUGCAAAAAGAAUGAAGUUGUGAAUUUUCUUGUAUUAUUGCGGCAAUUUUGGUGCAAAUUAUCCCCUACCAUCCUUUGCAAAUAUGCACGUAUUAGUGAUUUUUUAAAAUCAAUCUAUCAAGUUUAUUUGAAUUUUUUAAUCACCUAACACGAGAUUCAAACUCCCAAUGUAAAUUUUCCGAUAUUUGAUGAUUGCAUUGAGUCUCAACUUUUCCAGAAUAUUGAGCAUUAUUAGAUCUAGAGAUAAUAUCGAGCCAAAUCGAAUUCGGGUAUUAUCAUACUCAAACUCGAACUUGAUGCUCUAUUGAUAUGCUCAAGCUCGAUGAAUAUUCCAAGUCGAGAUUGAGCUUGACUCGUUACAGUUCGAAAGAUUUUCAAAUUAUACCAGACUUGAGAACUCAAAUUUAAUAAAGAGUUAUGAAAUAUAUGAUAGCUAAAUACCGUAAAAAAUAAAUCUAAAUUAGCAAAUUGGGAAAUAAGAAUAUAAGAAUUAAACAUUUAAUGAAAAACUCAAUGGAGCUCGUUGAGCCGUGGAAUCUGCAAAAUCUGUCCUCAAAUUUGAUCAAUACCAAAUUCGAGUCGAGCAAUUGACCUAACUGCUCGUGAGUUCUAGUCAAGUUGCUUCAUUAAGUAUCACUCAUAAUUGGACCUCUUUCAUAGGUGGCUCUCCUAACAUUUUAUUUUUGCAAUGGGUAAAAAACUUGGGGUACUCCUAAACUAUCGCCAUUGCAACUUUUGGUUAUUUAUCUAAAUUUUGUUUUCGAUUGAUGUUUGAACAAUUAAAACUGCAUACUUUAAGGACCUUUGAUGACUUUAGACUUAAAUAUAGCUGGAUUUAAAGGACAUUUUUGUCUAUUCAUAAUUGAAGCAUCGAGACAAGUAUAAGAAACCCUAAAAGAGGUAACUCUUCAAUUUUUUUAAGCACACCAAUAGAUUUUUCUUCAUAAAUCAUUUAAAAAUUGAGUUUUAUCCAAAGGAUUUUGAUAGUGAAACUUUUAAAUGAUUGAAAAAAACACCACAUGCAAGGCAUGGUACAAGGAUUUUUUCUUACGAACGGACACAAAUGCCCUUUAAAUCAGGUCAAAUUAUACUUAAAGUCAUCAAAAAUCCUUAAAAUAUACAGUUUUAAUUGUUUAAUGAUCAAUUAAAAAUAAAAUUUAGAUAAAAGAGUCAAAAGUGGAUAACGGCGAUAAUUUAGUGGCUCCCCACAAUUUUUACUCUUUUACUAUUCGCAGAACGCGAAUUUGAGACCUUAACAUAGCUUUAAUAAGUUGAUUCAUUGAAUAUUCAUUUUUUGGACUGAUAAAUUGAUGAGGCCCAUAUCAUUCAUGAGAUGACACGAUAAGGAGCCGAAGGGCCAAGGAGAAGGGGGACCCUACAAACUCUGAAUACGCCCGGGAUACCCGCGCUACAAACGGUUGUGGGGUGGGGUGUCCUGUGGGUUUUCCAGUGAAUUUAUUUUUAUUAUUUAGGACUGUCUAUCAAAGCAAGUUCUGUUGAAAGAGAGAUUGGACGUUUCCAACGCAGACCAACAGGUACUUCUACAACUUAUGUAGCCCCAGCCUCACUUAUGCCCACAUUCACUUGUCACUCACUGUCCGUCUGACAAAACACUAUUCCAAUCUUUCUCUCCGUAUUGUGCCUCAGUUACUGCUAAUUCUAAUCUUAGGCAGAGUGUGUAAAGAUUAAUAAAUAAAUAUAUCCAAAGUUAAUCUUAUGUGUAUUGACACAGAUGAAAGACACUUCUGUAGUGUCAAUAUAUUAAAAAUUAAUCUAAAUAUAAAUGUGCAUAUGUUUAUUAUACAAUCGUAAAAUAUAUCACAUGUUUAGCAUUUUUCAAUUUUAAUCUUCAGCAUACAAUUGUGAUAAUAUAUAAACUAUCAGUGUAUAUAAGAUUAGUUCAAAUAUAAAUAUGUACAAAAUUUAUUAUACGAUGGUAAAAUCUAUCACAUUAUUUAGCAUUUUUCAAGUUUUAAUCUUUAAUAUAUAAUGUCAUUCAUGCAAUUGUGAUAGUGUAUAGAACAUUAGCUCAAAUAUAAAUGUGUACAUAUUUAUUAUACGAUCGUAACAUUAUCUAGCAUUUUUUCAAGUUUUAAAUUAGUCUACCUUACUGCUUCCCUUUAAAUUCAUUAAUUCCUGAUCAUAACAAUCCAACGUAUAACAAAUUUAACAGCGUUUACCUUUGGUGCUAUAUGUUUCUACCGUCAUUACAGUUGAUGCAAGUAAUGCCUAAAACCUAGAUUAAAAAAAAGAAGGGAACUGAUUUUUUUCACGGAAAUUGAUAUUGCCAAGAUUAGAUUUUAUUUUCAGCAGCAAUUUCCAUUAAAAUGAUAAAUUACUCUUUUAAAGUCCAUUCGAAAACAGCAAGUUUGGCAUUUUGUCUAAAAGUUGUGUUGUUGAAUCGAAAAAUAUCAAUAACAAAACGAACCUCCAAAGUUCAAAUUAUAACAAGUCCCAUGAAAAGCAACGUGCGCAGCAGUCUCAUUUCAUUCCCAAAUUUGAUUGAUUUGAUGAUUUGACGAGACAGUAAACCCACCAAAUUCGAAAAAGAACUAAUUAAAAGAAAGCAAGAACUAAAAAGAGAAUGAAAGUGUUUGAAAAGAGAGCAUUAUCUUUAGAUUCUUUAGAAUACAUUUGAAACUGGAUACUUCUUUGUAAACUCCGCAAUACAAAUACCCAAAGUGAACAAAAGCCUUCCGCACCGCUCUCAUUUAUUUAAGUAUCCAACAACGUUCCAAAAAGUUGACGAAUCUGAUAGUACAAAUCUAGCUGACUAAUCAUCUGCCUGCACAUAUUUUCCCCAAAGUCCAUAUUCAGACUGGCAAAUCAAACUAGCGUGUGGUGUGGUCUGCCUCCAGUUUUUUUUUUUUUUUUUUUUUUUUUGUGGAAAAUCAAACCCUACGGCCGGCCGGCUACUUCUAGUUCUUGGGGAGAAUUUCCAACAAAGAUAGGCAGGAAAUCGCGUUGCUGUUAAUUUGCAUGUGCAUGCAGCAACGAAGUUAGUAGGUGGAAACUGAAAAUAAAACAGUGCGUAGUUUCUUAUCGUGACAGAGAGGCACAGCCAAACAAAUUACUUACCUAAUUUGCGUCCACAAAAUGCCACUUCAUUAGCAAUAAUCUAUCUGAUUGCAAUCAUUAUCACCUUUUACUAGUCAAGAUAAUAAAAGAGGGUUAGUCGUUAAAUUACAUUUUUUUUAUCUCAUGGGAAUGCAAUGAACCACCACCGUGGAAGAUUAUUGGCGAUACCUCCAAAAAGUCUUUUGCUGCAGCCAAGCCAUGCAAGAAUAUUCAAAUGUUUAACACAGAAUAAAGUGGAACCCUUUUUUUUAAAAAUUUUUAUUUUUUAAUCCACUGUAAUUUUUGGUCAACUCGAUUCAGUUAGAUAAUUAAACCUACCUAGUCGCAACCUUUUUAUUUAGAUAUAGUUUAAUUUUUGUCUCUUAAAUAAUGAUGGUUUAAGCGACGUGGCAAGCAGUCAUAACAGCAAGAAUCCAAGGAAAUCUAUGAUGCUGUAUUGAAGAUCAAUAAUACUAGUCUAUAAGGUAAGAGGAGCUACGUGGAUUAUCAUGGUUCAUAUGAUUAUCUUCUUCCACUAAUUAUAUAGUAAUUGACGAUAAUCCUCCUUCCAGCUGCCAAGCAUUAUUAUUACUACGUAUCAAAGCUAAAGCGAGGACAACUGUCAUUCGCUUUAAGAUAAUUUGGUGACACAGUAAUUAAGAAAGUUACAGAAUCAUAUAAGUCAGUCAAAAAAGUAGCCUUUGCCUUUGCCUAAGGAAGGAAGAUUUGUUAAUCACAUCAGGUCUUGACAGGAAAGUUUAUCGUUUGUGGAAAAAAUUGGCUCCAAAAGUAAGAAUUAAAAUGUUUUAUCUUCCUGUUUGUUACACAGUUAGGACCAGUAAUUUCAAGACAUUCACCAUCAAUUUGUUGCUGCCCCCUUAGUCAACAGAAAAUUGAGGGGUCAGUCCUCGUGGUAUAGAAUCACAUAUAUUAUUGAAAUCUAUUUUGUGCAUUAUAUCUAUCUGUCUAUCUUCUGCAGUGCAGUUCGUUCCUUCUUCUUCUUCUUUUUAUUUUUUUUUUCUUGACAAAAUUCAUCAUGUUUAUCUUCUUCUUCUGCAGCUAUAUGUUACAUAAGAGCAAAGAAUUAUUGUCUUAUUUCGAACUGAGGUUAUUAAUUUCAAUUAAUUUUUUAUAUAUCGACAGUGUAUAAUUACUGAACAUAAAUGCAUGUUAUAUACACACAAAAUCAAAAUUCAAAUUAGAAUUAAAUGACACGCAAUCAAUCGUGCAUUGUAUAUAUAUAUAUAUAUACAAAGAUUAACCUGAUUAUCAAUGCAUCGACCUCUGUGGAUGUUGAGUGACGUGAGGCACCCACAAUUUGACUUUCUUGGGAGCAGGUCAUGGCAAGAGAUCGGAUCCUCAAAAUGAUCCUAUCCUCUCAUCCCAGAGAAAUUCGUGGUUUGGAUGGAUGAACUGAAUCCCGAGUAUCCUUUAUUAAAUAUACGAAUCUUUGUGAAAUGAAGCAAAAGCUUAAGCAAUGAUUCUUUUGGAACUGCAUGAAAAUCUUUGUAAACUCAAGGCAACCAAUUGGGCAUGCAGUGUGCUGAAUGAAACAAGGAUCACGAAGAAAUUGAAUUAGAUGAGAUUAUAUUAUUACUACUAAUCCAUAAUGCUCCACUUAACUUUUUGAUAAUCUGUUCGCCAUCCAACUCAACACUUGGAAAGUGCGUAAUUAGAACCAAUUGGCCCUAAUGACGGCCAAUAUCUCAACCAAGAGAAUCUUAAUAAGUAGCGUUGUAUGAUUUAAAUAUACAAAUUGAGUCAUAUUUUAAGUACAUAUAGACACUUAGUCCGACGAAGAAUUGUCUGGCUUUUCCCCCAAUUCCAAGUCAUGGUAACAGUAGUGUAGAUUAUUUUUGGCCAAUGACUUUUAGAUGUCAAUUCUUGUACUAAGUGUGAUGUGCCUCAAAUUUUAUUUUAUUUACCAUAAUUUUUUUUUUAAAAAAAUAAUGUUGGUAUGUCGCAAAGCAAGUUAAAGGGGAUGGUAAUCUACUUUUUUGUCCUUUUUCGGUUUUAUUACAAUAUUCUUUUGUUUAAAAAAAUGUCAAAUAUCAUAGCCUCAAAUGGAAUGUUUACACGUGAAAUUGAUGGACUGAUGUUCAAAGAUUAUCUUGAAGGCGGUGCACCUGAUUGGAAUGUCAGUCCCCCGAUGAUUCGAUAUUCAAUUUCACAUCAUAAUAUUUGAUCUCUUUUUUUUUUUUUCACUUGGGAUACGGUGUUGACACUUGACAUCCUACUCCCAUUGAAUUUCCUUGAUCCAUUCGAAAAAGAAAGAAGUUUCAUUGAUCCAAAUUGAGAAAACAAAAGGCUUUCAUUGAGUCAAAAGUUGUUAGGUUCUACGUGACAGCGUUUGUCUUGAUUCUUAAAUUUUUCUCUUCAUCCGGCAUCUGUAAUCUCAAGUUAAAAGUAUUAAAACUGGUGUCAGUCAAGUCAAGUGGUUCCAAAAUUGGAAGCUGAUAAAAUUCAACCUCUGUUUCCAGCAUCAACAAAAAUAUUACUACGUACCAGGUAUAGCGGUGCAAUGGUAUCACUACCGAGAGAGAGCUAAAGCAGCUGUAUACUACCAUCCACCACUACUUGCUAGACCCUGGAAUUGCAUGCUGAUAACUAAGAAAAAUCCCUUUUGUUUUGUUUUUAUGAGAGAUUCUUAUUUUUUUUUUUAUAUAAAAAAAAAAACAAUGGGCAAUAAAAGAGUGUAAAGAAUGAAAUCAAAGAUUCUGCAAUCACCUUAUUAAUUAAUAUCCUACCAAGUAAGUAAUAUAAAGCAAGUCGAUCUUUAGUCUACUACUCGGUAAACAAUUAUUGGAAGCCCCUUUCUAAGGUUGAUAUUGGCGGUGACUUAUGCAGCAUGGUUUAUUGGUUGAUUGUUCAGCCUGCAUCCACUCCCAAAGCCCCACGAGGCCAUGAAUGAUCAGACUUUUUUUUUUUUUUUUGAUAAUAAUAAUAUGACUGAUCAGACUUGUUGAGAGGGUAUCCUAGUCCUAGUAUAUAUCUAACAUGGGCAAAAGAGCAGUAGUAGGUGUUAGAAACUAACUGUUAAUGAAUGAAUGCUGCAUGGAAAGUUAUACUAUAAUUUAUUAGUAAUCACACAUCUGUGUCAUAUCAUACGCUAACAGUAGUAGAUAGAAAUACUGCGCAUCCAACCCAAUGGCAAAAGGCAGAGUGUUGGAGAAGGAGGGACGCAUGGUCUGAGACCAGAGAAAUCUGAGAUUGGUUGGAGGGGUUUUAAAAGGAGGGACCCAAAUGAAGGGUGUCGUAUGGUUCAGGGCGCGCGAAAACAGCGCGGGAGCUGUUUCCCGAUGCGCAGAACAUAGACACAUCAUUCAUCAUCCUCCUCCUCCUCCUCCUCCUCACGCUCAAUACUCACUCACUGUCCUUUUAACUUUGUCAUCAGUCACCACCACCACUCUUAUGAGUCUUAUCUCUCUGUUUCUCUCUCUCUCUCUUACACACACACACAGAGAUUUGUGUGAACCAGUUUCAUUUUGCGCCCCUGAACUUGUAUCACAUUUUUAUUUCGCACUCUAUAUUUUAGAUAAUUUAUGUUCCGACUUCUUAGAUUUAUCCCACUCAAAUCCAACUGAUAAUAUCAGCAGUAUUAAUUGUUAGCAAACUAGAGGACCGUACAAAUGUAUGAUAAUAAUUUUUUAAAAGUGAUCAGAAUGAGCAAAAGGAUCACAACUAGAACAAAAUGAUGAAUUGUAAUAUGUAUACAGCACAAGCUUAGAGGUGCGAAGUGAUCUUUAUUCCUGUGUAUGUAUUUUUUUAUCCAAAGAAGACUCCAAACUUUGACGUAGAGAAGAGGGAAAGGGAAAUGUUUGAGGGUCCAAUGAGAAGUCUCGAGUCCUCCUGAUUAAUGUCUCUUUAAGUUGAGUCUUGAGAACAGAUGUACAUACCAUCUCUAGUAUUUAUUCUUUUAUUUUAAACUUUUUGAGAUAUUAUUGAUUCUAUAUUUGUAUAUAAUGGAUUCCAUCUCCGUCGUCCCAACCAAUAACACAUUAAUUAACUCGAAUCUUCCUUUGAUUCUUCAUACAUAUAUUCUUUUACUCAUUUGAUUACAACUCUCAUGUGAAAUACAAGGGAAGUAACUAAGUUGCUUAAUCAAUUAGGAAUCGUUUCACAAUUAACUAAAAUCAAGCUUGGUAUGUUGCUGAAUAAUUUCAUCGGGAUACUAAAAUGUUAGUGUAACCUAUCUAAGUUGACAUGCAUAAACGUACUACUUCCCUCAAUUAUAAAAUACAAAUCUACGCAUGCCCGUAAUUCUAUUGACAACAGAGUUCACGUGAAAUCUCUUUUUCCCCCCUUUUCAAGAAGAUUUCAAGCUUUACAUGAAAAAGAAAAGUUUGAUAAUCGAACCAAAAACAUCAUGAUCAUUUGAUUAAUGUCUCUGUCAAUUGAAUUGAGUACUCAAAUGUGAAAAUUAUAAAUUAUACUAAAAAAAUAAAAUUUGGUGGGCUUAUCAAUAAAAGUACGUAACUUUUAUUAAUCCAAUAGGACACAUGAAAAUUUAUUUAUUUAUUUAAAAAAAAAACUAAAAGUAUAUAACUUUAAUUAAUAUCCAAUAGGAGUUGUGAAAAUUAAAAACUUUUGAUCCAAGCCAGUUGGUGCUAGUGCGGAGGAGGUCCGGCAGGCAAGGAUGCCAUGUAGCCAUGUGAGAGUAGGGUCAGAGGAACCAGGGUACAAGAGACACGGAUGAGACUGUGCCUGGACAAGGUAAAAUGGGGUCCUAUCAUACCAGCAGAUGGUGGGAGUCUAUCAAUGGAUGUGAUUUGUAGGUCCUUCCCAUGUCUUUCUCAGGAGUCCAUGGGACCCUUGCAAAUUGCAAAGGUGUCAAAUGAUUGUUGAUAACAAUAUAACAUAAUAUGCUCCGUGUGGGGAACUUAGGCUGGAGAUCCAACUCUGUCCAUCUCCCCAUUUCCCAUACUGUUUUUAGUUAAAUCCUUAAUAAUACCUUUGCUUUUUGGAGCUGCUUAAUCACUCAUCACAUUUGUCCCAAUACUAUAUUUUGCAGCCUCCAAACGCCAUCAGAUCAUGAUUGUAAAAAAUACUAGCUGUUAGCAAUUAAGAAGGCAGUGUUAAUUGAUUCGCCAUGAAGCUCUCUUACUUGAUCACAGUAGUUCAGCCUUUAAGGGGACUGAUUAGAUGGAUAGCUUCUUCGGUCCGUUUAUUUUUAAACCACGUCUUUGGACCACCUAAACCCAAGCAGAAUCUUCAGAUAAUCAGACCACAAGCGUCUAAUCUUGCUCGCUCAUUUGUGUACUGUCACUAGAUACUAAGAUGGUCGACAAACAAAUGCCGCUGUUCACACCUUCGAAGCAUAUGAUUUGUACAAGUUCAUGGUGUAAUUAUUGAACGACGCUACUGUACAGCUAGUUUCUUGAAUUUUCGAGCUAAGUUUUUAAGUGGUGCACCCUCGCAUUAUUAUAUCCACGAUUUGACCAAACGCUCAGAAGAAAGCAUAUUCUAGAGAUUACAUUACACACCCUUCUUACAUUAAUCACGAAUAAACUAAACCCCAUCUUUGACGUGUUCUAAUGAAGUCAUAUUGUGGAUUAUAAGGUUUCGGGUCAGUUUGGUAAUCCUUCAUCUGACCUGAACUGGCUAGAAUGUUGGCAGAUAUGACCCUUCUCCCCAUACAGUCCAAGUAUUUUUCCUAUACAGCAAGAAAAUUUUGUUAAGCCUCAUGCAUGGAUCAAGUAUUCGGUGGAGAUCAGGAGAUGACGCUACAAUUAGAUAUAUGAUUAAUGAGACGUUCGGCAAAUUCUGGGCCUGAGCUUUGUGGCCCUAGUCCCAUGUUUGUAAUGAAUUCUUGCAAAUGUUGUAAGCAUCAACCAUCCAUCGCUUUCAACUUUCAAGACAAUUUCAGGAUAGUUAUGUCUCCAUCAUAGAGAAAUACUGCACUUCUUGGCCCAACAGACGCCCAUAAUCAUUAUAUAGGAGAACGGGUUACAUGGAUUGGAGGACACUGCCAAUAUCUUUAUCCAAGGUUUCCUUUCGGUUAUGUACUGGACCAGGUCCAGGGUCGGAACAAUACCUCCUGCAACAAAAUAAUUAAGCUGAAGGUAUAGCCUGCUCCAGCAAAAAUGUAUUAGCUUAACCUGUCAAUACCAUUUACUAUUAACCAACAGAAAUUCCACAGUUAGCACUUAAUGAGGUGGCUUCUGCUGUUCCUGGUACUUUGAGAGCCAUGAAAACAUAUUGCAGCGUUGAGGAUGGAUUUAAGAUUUAGUCUCUUAAAAUGAUUCUUGAUUAGGCAGGAGAUGUUCUUCUUUACAACAGGCACGCGAUUCUGGCAAAAUGUGACCCCCAGAUCCUUGCCUAGUCUACUUGAUAUUCUCGACGAGAACUAGCUAAGUAAUUUUGAUGGAAUGAAACUGUGAUCGUGCUAAAAAAGAAAGAGGAAAAGAUAGAUCUUUACUCAUUUAUUUGACUGUAAAAAGUAGGAACAGAAGCAACAUGUCAAACCUUUGCAAAAGGAACAUUUACAACCAUUUACAGACAGCAAGACCACCACCACAUUUUUGUACUUUACACCACAGUAUUACAGUAUUACAAACACAAGCAGUCGUUAUCUUAAUUGUCUGAAUUAGUAAACUAUAGGUCUAUGGAUAUUAUCAGCGGUUCCUCGCCCUUGUCAACAGCAAAUGUCUUGAUGACUUUUCCUUUGGUGCUGAAAAUUUCCACUUGAUAUGAUCCCUGAAAUCCUCUGAAGGAGAAUUGUCCCUGUUCAUCAAUAUGGCCGUGAGCAUGGGACAACCACUCCUCCUUAAGGGCAAGAUAUCUCCGACCCGCUUCAUUUAGGUCACCUUCUGCAUUCACUAGAUGAGAGUUUUCCCUGCUCGUGAACAGUUCCCAGAAUCCCCACAACAUAACACCAUCUACUGCUGGAUGAGCAAAAGCUUCCCGAAGCAUUACUUCCAAAUCGUCGGCCCUAAUGUGCUCGUUGUCAGAAGACACAUCAAGUUCCGUGAACCAGAUUGGAAGCCCAAGAAUACCUAAAUCAUUAAGUGCAGAGCAGACAACAGGUCCCACUGGACUAUCUAUAUGCCCCUGAAUACCUAUUCCUCCAACAGGUGCACCCUGCUCCUGGAGGUCAAGUAUGUGCUCUAUGUACUUUUCUGGCGAUGACCGGGUGUCGCAACCAUCCUCGACAUGGUAAUCAUUCACAAAUAGGAUAGCAGAUGGGUCUAGUUGGUUUGCAGUCUUGAACAUGUCUGCCCGGAUGUCUUUGCCCAACCGGUCUUGAUAGAAUGAGCCAUGCAUCAUCUCAUUGUUCACAUCAUAGUGUCGGAAUUUACCCUUGUAGCGUGUAAGAAGCCCUGUAAGACGGUUUUGAACGGCAGUCUUCAAGUCACUUUGACUCAAAUUGCGUAUCCAUUGCUGAACUGUGUUCUCAACCUCCCAGAAGAUGCAAUGCCCACGGACUUGAAUGUUGUGGCUGGUACAGAGGUUCAAGAGUUCAUCGGCAUCCUUAUAAUUAAAGUUUCCUUGCUGUGCUUCCGUCCAAUACCACUUCAGUUCAUUUCCAAAGACUGCCCAAUUAAAAUGUUUGACAAAGAAAUCAACAAAGUCUUCAUUGUCCAUAUUUGUUCUCAUCAAACAUGAUCCCAAGGGAAAGCUGUUUUGAGUUUGUUUUACUCUGAUUAAGGUACCAAGCAAACUGCCAGAAUCUGAUCCUGAUAAUUUCAAGAUGAUGUCACGCUUUCGUAUCUGCAUUUUAGCAAAAGAUUUAGUUGGUAGUCUUUAAGGGAUCUGAUAAUAACACAUUCACCAAAUUCAACAUAACCAUUGGUAUUUUAAUGCAGUAAGGUAAAGCAUAAAGCAAAUUAAGAUGUGAGACAACACGAUGUCAGAACAAGAACCAAGUAUCUUUUGCUUGUGUUAGUGUGACCCAAUAAGUUUGGCCAAACGAUUCAUUGAAUAUAUGACAAAAAUUCAGUAAAAUCAUUUGCUCAUAAGAAGAAAGCUUUAUCUCAGAAAGCUUGUAAAAUGCAUUUUAAGGAAAGAACAUAUGGAGAUAUGUCUGAUUAGACACGUAGUGAUCACCCUGUGGCUACUAUACAUCAAUACAUGUAGAAAAUAAAGAAAAGCAGAAGAAAAAUGUACCUUAUCUGUUUGUCUCCUCAAGGAUUUAAACCUGGCAUGCCUGUCAACUGGAAAUAUUUGCAGUCCAGCAACCAUGAAGUCAAUGCCCGAAGCAGGACCCUGAACAUAAACCAUCACCUUAGCAGGUUGUUUUUCAAUUCUAAAUGACCCACCAAUUUCAUGCCAUCUAUCAUCACGAAUCUCAACUUGUCCGCCGUUAACCCAUUGGUCAUCCACACCAAGAGCAACGUUCACACUCUGGGGGCUAGUAGGGCCAGGAGCAAUUCGAAUCCACCCGGAUACUUGAUAUGUCACGUAGAGUUUUACUUUGUCAGUAAUCAUCUGAGCAGGACCCAUCCAUGUUUGGGUGCGUUUUGUCACAAGGAUGUAGCGACCACUUAGUGGCUGAUGAGCUCCAAGAGAAUCUCUAGCCAUGGGAGGAAUUAUAUGUGGUGAGCCAGUUCCAACGCUAAGAGUGCAGUUGCCAAGUGGAAACCACCCAUUUGUGCCAUCAUUAAGGUCACUGUUGGCAAUGAUAUUAACACCGAAAGCUACAUCCUGAAAACAUUAAUGAAAUUAGCAUGCAAAACAUAACACAAUUGAGAAGGCAUGCAGAAGAUUUCUUCUUGACUAACAUAAUUCAAGAAAAAGGAUGUAAAAUAUGAAAUAUUUUCGCAUCAUGGAUGUGAACUGGAAACACCACAUCACAGGACCUAUUCAACCAACCUCGAUUACCGGAGGAGGUGAAGGAGGUACUUUAGCCGCAUGUUUUACCACCAAGCUAUUAAGAAGGAUAUCAGUGCCCGGAGGUGGACCUUCUAAGUAAAUCACUACUCUCGAUGGCGAACCAUUAAGAAGAAAUUUUCCUUGCAUCUGCACCCAAUCCUUGUCUGUUGCCUUCACUCUGCAGGUCAUUCAUUUAGCAUAUUUUUCGGAUAAUGUCCAUACAUGAUAUCUUUUCUGAUGAAUACUACAAGUCUACUAAAAAUGUUCAAGCAUAUACUAAAAAUGUUCACACAACCAAGAACAUUAGGCCUCAUGCAGGAUAAUGCCCUUCAGAUCAAUUCGUUGUAUCAAUAUGAGACCUAAAAUAACAUAUCAAGGAAGAUGAAGUUCCAUUCUAUAAUAACUAUUGAAGUAAUUGAUGCUCAUCUCAUUGCUUUGUCAAGCAUACUGUAUGUGCACCAACACAUUUUUAAAUAUGAUCAGUCAAAAUACUAAAUUAAAGUUUUCGGUAGUAAUAUGUCCAUUGCAGCAGUAUCUUUUAAGUACACUAGUAAGACAUCCCGCCUCACUGGUUGUUUUAACAUGAUAUGGUGUAUAACCCAUAUAGCUGCAAAAUAAAAAUAAGAAGGGAAAACUUCUUUUUAAGGAUUGAUCCUCACAAAAGGAUAAUCUUCUCCCAGAAAAGCACAUCUUCAACAAAGAUCACUAGCUUUUAAAGAUAAACUUCAGCUGAUUAUUUGCUAAGUAUAAUGACAUCCUCUGCUCCACUUUACCAUGGAACAAAAGAAAUCAGAUAUGGCAAGCACAAACUUACUUUGCAAUGCCUAUGUACUGCUCGCGCAUGUCUGCAGCCUGAACCCACAAUGUCGCCUGAACAUCUGCAUUGGUUAUAUUGUUACCAUAUAUGCGAACUACUGCACUAACCUCAUAAGCAAGCUUCCGGUUUACUUUCCCUGUUAUCUCCUGCUGAAUGCCAUUCCAGCUCUGAGUACGUUCUGUAGCAGAUGCAAACAAUUUCCCAGAUUGUGGAACAAUUUUGCCAUCUGCCAUUGUGUCAUGCAAAACAACCUUGCAGCCUCUACCAGACCAACCAUUAAGACCAUCGUCAAACUUCCAAUUUGUUAUGAUGUUCUCUUCUUCAAACAAUGGAGAUCCUUUGCUCUGGCUCUGUCAAGUAACAAGUCCUUGUCAGUAACUUGAGCUGAUUGCAGAAGCAAUGGACACAUUUACUAUCCUUAAACACACAAAUACAGCUGUCCUUCACGCCAUCAUACUAAUCAUUUAUCCUACUAUUGGCUAGUUCUCAAUGAAAUGCAAAAUUCCUAGAAGAAGUGUCGUGGGAGAAUCAGAUAAACUUACAUUACACCAACUGGAGCUAGAACAAGAGACUACUACUGAUUCUAUAAGCAGGUCCACACCGGGUAAAGGCCCUUCCAGAUAAAAUAUCACCCUAUCAGGCAUUGUCGACAGCAAGAAUGUGCCUUCUAAAUUCUCCCAGCAAUCUUUCGAAACAGACCUUCUGCACAAGGACACUGCCAUCAGAGCAAUGGCUCUAAAAAUAAAACAGGGCAACUAAUCUAUGAGAAAGAGAAAUGUAUUGCCUUCCAAUGAACAAGUAGCUAGUAUCCAUGUUCCUGUAUUCCAGUUUUAAUGUUGCUAGGACAUCAGCAUAUCCCUGAAGAGCACCUGAUACACCAACACGUGCAGACACCAUAUAUGUGGAACCAGUAGAGACUUGGCUUGUUAUAUCUUGCUCCAAGCCUUGCCAAGGUUCCUUCCGGUUUGUAAUGACAGCAUAAGUGCCAGGUUUGGGCGAGUUUCCUUCAAUGCUACUUGAGUAAGCUGAGAUCACAUAGGCCUCACAACAAUUCGGAUGCCAUGAAUGAAGCCCCCUAGAGAAGUCAUGGUUAUGGAUGAUAUUAAUAUCAGAACUGUUCCUCAUAGUCCUCACAUUUUCCUCUAAAUUCUGCAGUCAGAAAUUCAUAAUGUAUAUAUUAGGAUGUAUUUGUGCAAGCUAAUACAUAAAACUCAACAGAUAAAAAGGUUCCAUCGCAAUUCACUGUCAUAUGAUCUCACAAAAGAAGGAAAACGAAAGGGUAACUCUCUUAACAUAUAACUUUGUUUGACUACACAAGUACAGGGUGUUACAUCCAGAUGAUUAUUAACCACCAAGGCAGCAGCUCCUUUUGCAUCCAAAUUCAUAAUGCCUCUUGAAGCAAAACAAGGUGGCCAUGUAAACCACGAAUAAUUUAGAAUAAAUGAAUGUUCAGGAAAUGUUCCUUACCUACCUGGUACCCCUAAUAGUUCUUGGAGUCAUUGACAACAUUAGCUCAAAACUAGCACUCUGUAGUUGCUCAAUUCUUGCACUACUUAUCAAAACAAAUAUGAUGCAUUGUCACGGAUAUCAUUGACAACAUUAGCUAAAAAAUGGCACUCUGUAGCCAUUCACUCAAAAUUAGCAGCUGACGUUCUUAUAACAAAUUGAGUUUUUAGUCAGCAUAAUACUCAACAAUUCAGUUCUCAAGUGUACAACUCUCUGGCCACCAGCUCCCACGCCCCGGUCACCAAGCUCUCCAAAAUCCACCAAAUAAGUAUAAUAAUAGUGCACAAAGUUUGUUUAUUAAGAAUAUGAGUUUAUCAUAUGUACACUAACAGUACAUACACUAUUGUGGAUAGAUGUACAUACAUAAGCAAAAUUUGGAUUGAUGUACAACAUAAGAAUGUGACUUUCUUUGUGUGUCAAAGGGAGACUCAUCAAUUGAUCCAAGUCUGAGAAUUAGGAGCUACUAACAAACAACAAUUACUUAAACAAUUAAUAAUGCCCAUCGGUCCAGAGCGAUCCUUCAAAAUUGAAAUGAGGUCGGCAGAAAAUUUAAUAAACGAAGGAACAAGAGAAAAGCUUUAAGGUAAGCAAUGCAUACCUCAGAUUGGAACGCAUUAUUGGCAUUGCCCUCUGAUGGGUUCUCCAUAUCUACUUUCGAACUCUAAAACCCAUUAAGCAAGAUCACUAAACCACACCAAAAAUAUCAGACAAAGAUAGACUUCUAAGAAAAAUUUCAGUACCUGCGAGGGACUGUUCUCCGAAAAUUGCUUCGGAAUUCGACGUCUGAAGCAGCAACACAGCCGCUUCAUUAUAUACAGAUACAAACUACUGUAUGUUCGGAAGUUUUAUAAGUGAAGUCAUCGGAUAUGGCGGGACCAACUAAACCUACCGACCAAUCAGAAGUCUUCUGCCUUCUAACUGUUUGAUAUCUUGUCCCAAUAAUCUAGACAGCCAGCAUUGCAGGAACAUUUGUUCUAGGACAUUUUCUUUCUGCAUUUUAAAAAUGGGUUUCUCUUGUUCCUCUUGAUUUUCCAGAUUUUUUCAUUAAAUUGUGUACAAGUUGGAGUUGGCGGGGGAUUUCUUUGUCUUGCAGACUGGGUUGGCCAAUUGCAAUUUUGAAUGCUUGAAUUGAAAUAGAAGAUUACCGGUUUUAGGGAUGCUGUGUUCUAUAAGUAAAAUCAUAUCAUCGAUACCUUUCUUUGUCAACGGGUCUCUAGGUCUUUGAUUACAAGUCAGAUUUCAUUCUUAACAAGUUGCAGGUUAGGUGAAAUCUGGCUUUUCUUGCGAUGCGUGCUGUUGAGUCUGUUCCUUUAACUGAUUAUUAAGAGCCCACAUCUUUCAAGUUUCAAGUUUUAGGUCUUUAAGCUUUUUUUUGGGUAAUGAAAACAUUUACUAGUCUAUCCUAGAGUCCACAUCUUUCAAGUUUUAAGUCUCAUUUUUUUCGAUAACAAUGUGUAUUCUAUAGCAUUUAUAUAAUAUAAUAUAAUAUAUCAUAUUCUACCGGAAUGGGAAUCUAAAGAGGUUGUAUAGUGGGUUAGCAAGUAUACAGAUCUGACUAAAUUAAAGAGUUAUUCUGACACUUCUUUUAGAUUUUUUUCACUGCAGUUGGAGUUCGAACCUUUGGCUCACAGUCCAAAGAGGGAUUUAGUCCCUUUUUUAUAACCACUGAACUUUGUUUUUUCAAGUUUUAGGUCUCAUACCUGACGUUAAAAUUCUACCAAUCCAUCUAACUUGCAUCUUUCACUAAAAAUAAAAUUUUAAAUUUUAAAUAUAAAACAUGUCAUGAUGAAUAGUAGAAAAUACAAGACAGUGAAAGAGCGCAAUUUUAUGUUACCUAGACCAGACAAUCAAAAAUUGACACAGAUAAAGAUGAAUAAGCCUGAUUAAAGAUAAUGCACUUGCAAGUCACUUUGUUGCAUCUAUAUGAGAAGACAUAGGAUGAAAACUCAAAGCACAUGCCAAGUAAUUGAAGACCACUGUAUAUCACUUUCUUCAUGCAAAUGAACGGGUUUUUUUUGUUUUAAUGUGCAUGAGCAUGUCAAAGAAUUGCCAACAAAAUUUUUUAUUUUAACCAGUCAACUCCUUAUCUAUUUUCAUGUGAAUAAACCCACGAAACAGGUCUACUUCACAUGAAGGAGAUUGUCAAUUGGGUGAAUAUGGUGUAUAACCUGUAUUAAAGAGAAACAAAAAAAAAAUGAAGCUAAUUAAGGAUCUUCCUCCAAAUGAUUGAGCCUUAACAAAGGAAGACUUUUUCCUCCAAGUAAUUAAGCAUGCCUUGACUCUUGGAUGAGACCAUUAGCUUUUCAAAUUCAUAUUUAACGAUUGCAACUCGUGCUAUACAUUAUACAGACCUCUUGUAUGCUGCAUUUCAAACUACAAGAAAAAGUAUCAGACAUGGCAGGCGAUAACUUACCUCGCAAGCCCAAUGUAAUGCUCGCGCUGAUCAUCUGCAGCCUGAAUUAACAAUGUUGCACGAACCUCUGCAUCAGCCCCAUUGUUACCAAAUACAGAAACUACAGCUACAACCUGAUAAGCAAGCUUUCGCUGUACUUUGCCUGUAAUGUCCCGCUGAAUGCCGUUCCAGCUACCAGUGCGAUUCGUAGCAGAUGCAAAGAACUUGCCAGACGGAGGAACAAUUUUGGCUUCAUGCAAAACAAUCUGGCAGCCUCUUCCAGACCAAUUGUUAAGGCCAUCGUCAAAGUUGGGAUUGGAUAUGAUGUUCUCAUCUUCAGAGAAAGCAGGUUCUUUGCUCUGGCUCUGUCAAGUAAUAAGUCCUUGUCAUUAAUAUGGGCUGAUUUUCCAUCCACUGUACUAGUAAGUUGUCUUGUUUUUUUGACAAGCUGAAUAGGUGCUUAGUACUGUACAGCCCGAGUAACAUAUUGAUAUCUCCUGAUUGUACACUAGAAUGGUGACAAUUGCUCCAAAUUAGAGCAUACAGUAGUUAUUGUCUAUGGUGGUUAAACUAUUUAAAAUUCCUCAUUUUGGUAACUAAACUUUUUCGUUAAUCAAAAUGGUCACCGUCAUUCUUCAACUUAAAAACGUAAUUUUUUUUGUCACUCAACUAAUAAAACUGUACAUUGUUUGGUUGAACGGCUAAUCGAUAUAUGCUUUUAAUUAGCCGAAUGACUAUUUCGUCAGUGACCGAGAUAUAAAAUUUUAAAUACUUUAGUGACCAUAUGUACCAUUUGCUUUACAAAUUAAAUGUAGCAUUUCUCCAGCUGUUGGACUAUUUCAAUGAACUUUGCUAGAAUAUGGACUGUAAGCCUGAAUGCUAAAACAAUGUAAGCAAACCAUCUGAUAAUCAACCACAUUGUUUCUUUGUUCAGUAUAAGAUGAAAAUCAGGCCAAUAGAAAAUCCCAGCCGGAGGAAAACUCACAAGGAAAAUCUCCGAUGUCUGAUCAGGUUGAUCAAAGCCAUCACGGUGGACAUUGCUCGUUGAUGGGUUCUCCAUAUGCCCUCCCGAAAAUUUGGAUAAUAAGAUAAACAAGCAGCCUUAAUACUACAAACUCUGAAGACUCGCACAUACCUGCAAAUCAAUGACUCUGCUGUGAAAAGUGCUCGAAGAAUCUAAGACUCGGCGUAAGAAGCAACAUGCAGGAGGGCGAUUCAUUUAUAGCUAGCCGUGAUGAAGAUUGUUGGAGGGUUUGGAAGUUUUGCAAGUUAACUAGACGCCAAGCGCGGGAUGUCACAUGCAACUCUUUGCUGUUUUCGACAUUUUGUCUCGGAAAUCCAAGAACCGUGCAUGACAGCAGUAGGUUUAUUCUUUAUACAAAUAUGUUAUCCAUUGAUUCUACAAUGCCCUUGGAUGAAGAUCUUGCAUGCAACUCUUUGCUGUUUUUAUCUUGGUAAUCCAAAGACGGAGCAUCCAUCACAGCAUAUAUUUUUAGUACAAAUAUCUUUUGUCCAAGAUCUUGCGAGGACAAAACACAAGAAAGUUGAGACCCAAUAGAUAAGUCCAAACUCAUAUUUCACUUCAAAAUUUUAAGUUAUAAGAGGUCUUGAAUCUUUACCUAUGUAUUAAGUACUCGUUUUUCCUUUCCCAAACUAAUGCGGGACAAAUAUCUUACUCACAAACCUAGCAUUUUUGUUUCUUUGGUUCUCCUGACUUGCAAAUUUGCAAAUUUAGUUUCCAAAAUUGGUUUUUUUUUUCCCUUCAUCUCUUCCACUUGGGCUUAAAUUGGACUGAAAAAUUCAUUAACUUUUGGGAUCCUUUGAUAGCAUUACUUUGGCUUGGUUUUGGAUGUAGCAGAUGAUUUCUGAAUAGUUAGCUUAGUGCAGUGCUACGGUGCCGUAAAGAAGCCUAUGAUAGUUUGCCAUUGUUUGAAGUUAAAUCAACCAAUGAGCAUAUUUCAAGGAGUCGAAUCAGCCUUGAGAAGAUAAAUUCUUUCAUAAUCUAUAUAUUAUUAAGAAAAUGUUUAGUAUUAAUUAAAAAAAAAAAGAAUAUGUGUAGUAUUUUUCUUCUUUGUGACGGCUGUUAUUGGCUUGAGCCUGAUGUGGCAAAUUUAGGAUUGGGAUUCCAAGGUUUCUAGACGUGGUCAUGACCUUCAAUAUGGUAAAAAGUAAACCAAGGAAGGAGAAUCUAAGGGGUUUGGAUUAUGAAUUUUCGCCAAAAAAUUUUGGGAACAUUCCUAUCACGCAUUCUUAAUUAUUUUUUCAAAUUACAUACAUCGUCUCAUCAUUGUAUUUUUUAUAUAAACUUCAAAAACUUAUAAUCCAAACGGAAAAUUUUAGUUAUACCAAUUUAGAUAAAACUAAAAUAAUUGCAAAAGUACAUUAGGCUACAAGGCAGUUUUUGCACUUUUGCACAGGAUUUUAUAUGCUUACUUCUUGUACAUUUUACAUGUGGAAAAGUCUGAAGUAACGAUAGUUAUGGUAACGAAACUAUUUUUACCUGAUAUAACAGGUAAAAAUACUUUUAGCGACCAUUUGAUUACCUGUUGUACUGGUCAUCUAAACAAGAUAAUGCCUAAAAUUUUGGGUAGUAAGUUUCGCAUUAAAAAUAGUAAGUUAUCCUUAUAAAUUAGUAACUUUUAUGUCUCAAAAAGUAAACUUGAAUAAAUAUGGAACUAACCUUUUUUUUUGAAGUAAAAUACUACUCUAUAUCUGAUACUUAGUUUUUGGAGAGUUAAUUUAGUUCAAGUAAUAGUAAGUUUUUAUAGAUUAAUAGUAAAUAUUGUUGAUAGAAUAGUAAAUUUGGUUAAUCAUCAAAACUUAAUAGUUUGUGGCAUAAAUUUACUAUUUUACUUAAAGAAACUUACAAUUGUACGUAUCAUUUAUAAAUGUUAUAUGUUCGAAGCAUUUUAAAUAUACUAUGAAAACUUUUUUUUUUGCAUAUGACCUUAUAAAAUAUGUAAGAAUAAUUUGUCAUAUUUUAAAUUUUUAAUUAUGGGAAAAUAAACAACUAAGUUCCCAAAAUAUUUCACUUUUAUUGUUUAAAAAAUGUCAACUUGUUGGUUAUAUUCAAAAUAAUUCUAUUGUCAGAAAUAGUUUUUCUCAAAUUAACUUCAUGAUUAGAUGUGAGAUACAAAUAUGAUAAAAUAUUCCUCAUACAUAUGUCAUGGAUAUUUCAGACUUAUAGUAAAAAAAAAUUUUGUUGUUAAAAUAACAUAUAUCAUAGUGUACUAAUUAUUUUAGGACCAUUUUAUAGGUGAACUAAAUUUAAUUUAAAUUAUACAAUAGAUUAUACAUGCAUGUGAUUUUCAUUUAUAAUUAUUGGAUCCUAUUCUUAUGAACAAUCUCCCAAGGGAAAAAAUCCAGAUCAUACUGAUUUUCUUAUAUUAAUUGUUAUACUAAUUUUGUCAUUUUUAUUAUUAUAUUAUUUCUCAUUUUGUUUAGGCUUUUACUCUUAUUAUUUCUUGUGUCUCAGAUGUAAAUUUAUUAAAACUUUAUCAUCUUAUUAUAUUCAUAGGUGUUAAAUUAUAAAAUUUUGAUAUAUAAACAAGUAAUAUUCUAUAUAUAACUAGGAAGAUUUGUUGUUAUUGUUAUUCGAACUUUCAAAGUUUUAAAAAAUUGAAAAUGAUUAAAAGCUUAUAAUAUGACAAAUUUUUUUUACAUAUUUCACAAGAUUAUGUGAAAAGUCAAACUAUUUUUCAUAGUAUUUUAAACUAUAUAAAUAAUUUUUUUUAAAUUAAACCUAUAAUCAUGUAUUAUACAGGUAUAUUAUGAGUACUUACUAACUAAGGUAUUAAGAAUUAAUCAUUAAUAAAACAUCUUAUAGUUAUUUCAAAUAAAUUUCCUAAUACUAGUUUGAAAUAUGUUUUAAUCAAAUAGUACAUGUGUCCCAUAAAUCAGUAAGUUUUGAUUAUUAAUCAAUUUACCAUGUUAUUAGUAAGAGUUACUAUUUAUGUAUAAAAACUUACUAUUACUUGAAUUAAACUUACUCUCUAAAAAGUAAAUUUGGGAUAUAAAGUAGUAAUUUAUUUAUUUAAAAAGUAAGCUUAAUAUUUAUUCCAACUUACCUUUUGAAGUAUAAAAGUUACUAAUUUAUUACUGUUACCUUAUUAUUUUAGAUAGAAAACUUACUUUCUUAUUUUUAAGUGUUAUCCUAUUUAGGUGGAUAAACCUAUCAAAUAAUCAAAUGGUCGCUAAAAGCAAAUAAAAAAUAAUUCGAAAAUGGUCAUCUAAGUGUUAUCCUAUUUAUGUCUAAAAAAGUAAAUUGAAAUAAAAAUGAAAGUUACUUUUUAAAAAAAAAUAAAUUACUACUCUAUAUUCAAAACUUACUUUUUAGAGAGUAAGUUUAGUUCAAAUAAUAGUAAGUUUUCACGGAUUAAUAGUAAAUCCUGUUGAUAGAAUAGUAAAUUUGGUUAAUCAUCAAGACUUACUAGUUUGUAGCAUAAAUUUACUAUUUUACUUAAAGAAACUUAUAUGAAACAAGUAUUAGGAAGUUUAUUUAAAAUAAUGCAAAGAUUUUUUUAUUAAUGAUUGAAACUUAAUAUUAUAGUUUUUUUUUUUUACCUUAUACUUUUUUAUUUAUCCAAAAGUAAAAAUUACAAAAAUGCGCCCUGCGCAGUUUAAGGCCUAAUAUAUGGCAUCUCUAGCUGAUCUAUCCUAAGGAGAGUUUUAAUCUUGCGUGGAAGUGACUCUUCUCCGGUGUAUACCACACCGUGGCCCAGCUGCAAUGCGGCUAAAGCAUCCGCUACCAUAUUGGCUUGUCGAAAGACGUGGCUAAGAUCGGCCCCCAGCUCUGAUAACAAUCAACUUAAUAUUAUAGUUAGUAAUUGUUGGUAACGUAAAUGUAUAAUAUAUGAUUGUAUGUAUCAUUCAUCAAUGUUAUGUGUUUUAAGCAUUUUAAUAAAUGUAUGUAUCAUUUACAAAGGUUAUGUGUUCUAAUAAAUUUAUUUUUUAGGUCACAAGUAUAAAAGUUAAAUUUGUACUAAUGUAGCAUAAUCUUUGAAAACUAUAGUAAAUUUACCCACAUAUUAAGUUUUGUGAGAUUCAAAUAUAUUUUGUAUCAUUUACAAUAUGGAUUUAUAUGCACAUUUUUUUUUAUCAAACUUACUUUUAAUUGGCAAAUAGUAUGUAAAUUAUUAUAAAAUGUCAUUUUAUAAUAAUCAUAAUUUUUAUAGGUGAAUGGUAUAUAAACUGCUAAAAUUGCCAAUUUAUAAAUGAUCAAAUCUUACUACUUUAUGGCAUAUAUUAGUUUGGUCAACUAAAAAAUUAUCGUAAUUAAGUGUACGUUGGUUGUUGAUUUGAAAUUUGCACCCCCGUCACUAUUUUGUUAUUUCUACCACAAGUUUUUCUAAUCAAAGUAAAACAAAGUCAAAUAUCUUUUCCUUUUGUAUGUAGUAUUUAUAUUUAGUAAAAAAUUAAUAAACCAUGAUUACAUUUCAUAAUUUCUAAUAAAAUUAGUAACAUUUUCUAAAUAAAUUGGAAUAAUUUGUAAAAUAUGUUAUUUUUUUAACAAUAUAAUUACGGGUGGCAAUCGGGUCCAAAUCGGAGUGGCGGGUCAGGUUGAGAUCCAGGUAUAAUAGAAAAGUGGUUGACCCGAACUUGACCCCCCAACCCAAAACGGGUCAGGAUAUCUAACCAGAAUCUGAAAAUUCCAGGUUGUCGGACUGGCGGGACGACCCGAAUGACCCAAAACUUAAUUUUAUUUUAUUUAUUUACCACUGUAAUUUCUAAUUCGCACAAGACUAAUUACAUAAUCAAGUAAUAAAAAUUUAAAUAAAUAAUCCCAAACCAAAUCUAAAAUAAAUUAAAAACACUGUAAAAGUGUUUUAUUCCAAACCAAAUAUAAAAUAAAUAAAAGCAGUAUAAAAGUAAAAAAUAAUAUAAUACAUUAUUUGUCCAAAUAUAAUAAUUUCAAUUUCAAAUAAGUUAAAUAAAUUCAUUUAGGAUUAAGUGAUUAAUGCAUUUGAAAAAAAAAGAAUAACUUAGUUUAGUUAGGUAAAAUAAUUUUUAAUUCAUAAACAGGUGUUCGGGUCGUAUCGGAUCACCCACGGUCUAACCCGAAUUCGACCCGUUUUCUUUUCGGGUUUGUCGGAUUCGACUCGAUUCUGACCCGAACCCGUGAAACUUCAAUCCGAAUCAAUUAAUUUCGUGUUAGGUUCAUAUCGUGUUUUCAGGUCGUUCAUGGUAAUGCACCCCAUAAUGGUAAUUUUUUGUGGUGAAUAAUUAUAAAUGUCAGUGUAACUGUUAUCUUUACUUGCAUGGUUAACUCACUAAUUCUAUUAUGGUGUCAUGAAUUUUCAGUUUCAAUCCGAGACUGAACGUUUUAACAUUGCAAUGGAAUUGGUCCUACACCGUAAGAAUGCAUGGGGAUUUCUUCUACAAGAUCAUUUGCAGAGAAGAUGAACAAUAAAAGUAUUCAUAGUUGGGAAAAAUUCUAAUUCAUCUUGGCUAUUUCUAGCUGAAUGCCAAGUACUUUAUAAGGCAGAAGAAUGUGCUUUAUAUUUGCUAUUCUCCUAUCUUACUAAAUGUGCUUUAUAUUUGAAGAGAGAAGCGGUAUUCUCCUGAGUGCAUAUGACAAACACUAAUUUGCUGCGAGACUAAUGGGAUAUACCUGUGAUAAAAGGAAAAGUGAUCCAUCCAUUGUCAUUUUUUUGGCGGGAUUGGACAGUUGAGCUGCUUGGUUCUUCUAUGUCCAUGGAUGCAGGAAUUAACUGUUAAUAUGAUGCAGCAGCCGAGCUAAAAGUUUGUCCCAUUAUUCCUAAUGGCAGAUUGUCAUUAAAUAGAAAGGUGGAUUAGUUGUUUAUUUAUAGAGGACGUGGGAAGAUACUAUUUGUUUGGACCUCUGCUAAUGGCUUACGGUGGAAAUCGCGGCACUUAAAUUCACAAAGGCCGAUGCUCUCUCAUAAAAGUGCCGUCAGUCUACAUAGGAAAGCAACACACUUUUUUUUGGGUCGGAACGAAACGAUACAUUCGUUUCGGAGUAAAAACUUCUAAUGCUCGCAGAAAUAAAUAAGAGUACGUGCUCCUACGACAGAAUGGAUGUUACACCGCUAUUAAUGUGGUAAGGGCAUCCUCCAUAGUACUUUAUAGCAAAAUGUAGCAUGUAGUAAGUAGCUGCUUAUAUAAAACUACCGAGGUUUAGAAGUGGUUAAGCAUUAGAACAACUACUGCAUAAUAGUCCCUGACUAAGCUGAACAAAAUGUGACAGGGUCACAACUACAAAAGUAGUAGCGCAAUCAGAAAACACCUAUAACAACUAAGACAAAAAGAGAGACUGUGUCCGAUGCACCCCAUGUUUGACUAGAACCAUCCAUAUGGAAUUUCAUGAUUAAUGCUAAUCUUCCCUGCUUCCUUUCACUUAUUCCAUCCCGUUGAGAUAUCCAGUCCUGAAAAAAAACAUGACUUUCAGUUUUAGCAUAUCUGGAAGCGGAAAUAACCAAAUGAUGACAAGAAUAACAGUAAAACGUAUGCGUGCUUCAAGCCCCUAAGCUUUAGCAGCAGAACAAGCCAUGUGAGAAACAUUUCUAUAGUAAACCACCUGUACCAAUUUUAAUGCUCGAAACAAUCGAAGUAGAUAAUUCAUUUAUUUGAGAACAUAAGAAUAAAAAUCAAGAAUACGGCUGUAAGCCACAAGAACAACUCAGAGAAACCAGUAAUUUUUUUUUACUUAAAUAUGUACAUUUUUUACUUUUAGUAUUAGUAAGUUUGAUUCAACCAUAAGUAAAUUUUGUCAAAUAAUAAGUAAAUUAAAUUAUUCAAAGUGUAAAUUUCUAUUCCUGACUAAAACUUAUCUUUCAGGCAUAUACUUACUAGUUUUAAUUAAAAACUUACUAAAGUUAAUAUUAAUUAUUUUAAUAUAAUAUUUAAAAAAGUCGCUAAAAAUUUUGAUCUGUCACUAAAGGUAAUAGAAACCUAUAAUAGUAGGUUUCCCUAAUAUCGUUACUGUAACUAUAGGCACUGUAGCAUUGUCCCUAAAGGAAAAGACUGAUCAUCAACUAACAUGUCAUAAUAAUUAUGAAUCUUAAAAUUAAUUUUCCAGUCAGCCCACCCAAACUGAAAUCGCGCAAAUUUAACACAUGUUUCACACCAUAAACACCUGCAAAUGCUAAAGCAAGUCACUCCUAUCUAUCUACAGGAAAAGUAGUCGUAAAUUCUCAGUUUUUACUUCAACCUCAAUAAUUGAAAACUUUGCUUACCAAUAAAAAUAAAAAUAAAAAUAAUAAUAAUUACAAUAAUAAGCAACGCAAUUACACAUUUUUGACUAUAUAUGAUAAAUCGACCGGAACUGAUCAGUGGUCUAAAUAAUGGUAUUCCCAAGUCACUUUUACACAAAUUGAUGCUUAAUUCCUUGACUUUGAGGGAGACUAUCUGAAAAUUUUAUGAAGGAAAUCAUACUACAUAUAGAGCAGAGAUUAGUUCACUUAGCUGAGCCUUAAUUAACCAUAUGUUAUCUGAAUUUUCCUUCAGAAGAUUCCAAAAAGAACUGAUUCCUAGCCACGAGAUCCCCCCCCCCAUCACAAAAAAAAAACUCUUUAGACAGCAGGGCAGGGAUUCACGAAGACUCCAUAUAUUAAUGAAAUUCAUACAUACUUCUAAUUUAGGCAAGAGAUUAUGCAUUCUAAUUGAUGUGUACAUGCUAAUGUAAUUGAACCAAACAUGCAGCUCCAGGACGGUGCUUUCUUGCUCAGGAGUCAGGAUUCAUUCAUUUGGAGUAUUUUAGCUAGUAAUGACAAGUUUACAAGAAAUGAGUUUGAUUGUACUUGCUACCUAUCCCAUUGGCGUAAACCCCCAAAUUUUUGACUUCAAUACACAAAGUCGUAUUUUUUGGACAAAAAAAAAGAGAAUACACAUAAUUGUAUUUAUGAAUACUUCAAUCACUAUGCUUGUCUUAUUAUGGAGCUUGGAGUCAUCUUAAUUGUCCAUAUCUUAUGAUUGAGAGUGGCGCAAGACUCCUUCCUAGCAAGUAAGCAGUGGUAAUUAAUAUGUAUGGAUGAAACUUGGACCGAUUCCCACAGACAUCCAAGCCAAGUAACCCAAAUCAUUAAUAUGACCUUCAAACCACAUAUAUACAUACACUUUCUUUGUUUAAUUGAAGGACAAUGUUAGAGGGCCCCAGUGGAAUCUUAGUCAAUAAAACCACAUUUAUCCAUUGAUAUAUUUACGCCAUUGGGCUGCAGCCGGCUGACCAUUAUCUUAAGUGCAAUAUUGUGAUGGAUUGUAGAUUUCAAUGAUUAUUAUACUUUUGGCAAAAAUUUUUUUCAAAUGUCAAUAAUCUAUGUCUUUACCUACUCUUGCUCCUAAAUAACGAGGAAAAGGACAAUUCUAACUGGAUUAUUAGGAAUAGAAAGAGACUAAAUUACCUUUGAAUUAGACGGAUGCCCUAUGACACCUGUUGGAUUUAAAAAAAUUACAUAAAGUGACAAUUGAUAGAAGGCAAGAUUCAAAACUCUGACCUCCCAACUCACAAAAUCUUAAAGUACUUUUUGUGGUUUAACAAGUAGCGUACAUAUGCAGGUAUCAUCUAUCCUUGCAUCUUUUUCAUGAUAAGAAAUCUAUCUGGUCAUUUCUUUCCCUCCAGCUUGCGUUUUUCUCAACCCAGUCGGAAGCCAUUGAAAGCAUGGCAAGUGCCAGUGAACAAUUGAGUGGUAGGUGGUCUCUUAAUAGAAUGACUGCCCUUGUUACUGGUGGCACCAGAGGCAUUGGGUAAGCAAAUUUCUUCAAAUAUAGUUCCUGGUAUUUAUAUUUAUAUCCAAAAAUUAGUAAAAUCAUUUCAACAUUAGUUUUCUCAUUCACUCCUCAAAAGGGUAUGUUAACUGUUAACAACCAAUUGGACAACUUUUAAUGAGCAGAAAAACCUACUCAAUCACGGUCAUAUCUCGUUUCGUAUACAUAAAUCCUUACUUCCUUCACUUGUUCUAGUAUAUAUGUGCGAUUAUGUCCCUAGUAGCUUUAAUGCAACAUCCAAAAUGCGUGUCCCCAUUUUAACUAUUUGACCCAAAAUUUCAGGCAUUCCAUAGUGGAAGAGUUGGCAGGAUUUGGAGCCAUAGCAUACACAUGUUCAUGAAACCAAAAGGAACUUAAUGAAAGGCUGCAAGAAUGGGGAGCAAAGGGUUUCAAAGUUUAUGGUUCAACUUGCGAUAAGGCUUCAAGAACAGAAAGAGAGGAACUAAUAAAGAACGUCUCUUCCACCUUCGACGGCAAGCUGAACUUACUGGUAAGUACAAACUCUGAUCCAUAAAAAUGGUUGGUCCAUCUAUUUCUUGACUUGUUAAAGAAUCAUAAACAUCAUCUCUGUUUAGAGUUUUAGUAUAUGCAUCCAGAGUAAUUCUUAGGGGAAAUAUUUCCGAUAUCUUGGUUUGAAUUAAUUUCCCAAAUGCGGACUGCAGUGCAGAUAUUUUGUAGGAUGUGCCGGCUGAAAGUGAAUGAUAUGCUUAAAAAGGAGUAAUUUAAGAAGCCUCCCAUCAGAUUUUUAACAAUUUGACUGCCAUUUCUAUUUGGCAAUUAGAACUUUUAAUUUUCUCACCCGCACAGAGUAGCAAUCAUAACACAGAAAUUUCUCUUUGACAUUUCACCAAACAUCUUAUAUGCAUUCACAAAUUAAUCACAUUUAACUUAAACGCCUAGUCUCAAGUCCUUUUCUAGAUGUUUCAUAUGACUAUUAAGCAUAUUUUACCCGUAGACAAUCAAAACUACAACCAUUUCCUAGAUGUUUCAGUGGACAUUUUCAGCCCCAAAAUUGCAAUAAAAUCUUCAAAUUCUCAGCCUUGAUUUCGCAAGAAAAUCUUGACAAACAAAACAAAUAAAAUAUAAAUAAAUUACAGCAAUAUAAUCAAACGAUUUCAAGAGGACAUGAUGGUCUAACCUCGUCACUGCUCUUUUUCAUAUACUCUUUGAUUGGCUACCACCGUCGCAAACCCUUUUGUUGUGUCUGCAUAUGGCAGCACCCAAAAACAGCCGAUCAACACCCAAAAAACGGAAUCAGAUUCGGAGAAUUUAUUAAUUGGUCACCCGGAGGACCCUGUUCCCAACGUAAAUGAUGAGUUGAAUCGAAGUAACAGAUGCUCCCUUUUAUUGUGUCUGCAUAUGGCAGCACUCAAAAACAGUCGAUCGAUGAGAAAGGAUAUAGGGAAAGUUUGAACUAAAGAUGAAAAUUUUGAAGUGAGAAAAUUUAUUCAAUUGUAACCAAGAGAAAGUGUAGAUCAAAGUGAAAAUCUUUGUCUGGGAAUUCAAUCGUAUCGUUGGAACUGAGAACUAAGUAAGAAGAAGGCAGAUGACUUUAAAGAGAUGAACCAAAAGUGUUUCAGGAACCCAAAACCGUUUUCAGAAACUGGUAACUUUUUAACUAGAAUAUGUACAUUUUUUACUUUUAGUAUUAGUAAGUUUAAUUUAAAUAUAAGUAAAUUUUGUCAAAUAGUAAGUAAAUUAAAUUACUCAAAGUGUAAAUUUCUAUUUCUGAUUAAAACUUAUCUUUCAGACAUAUACUUACUAGUUUUAAUUAAAAACUUACUAAAGUUAAUAUUAAUUAUUAACAUAUAAUAUUUAAAAAGGUCGCCAAAAAAAUUGAUUUGUCACUAAAGAUAAUAGAAACCUAUAAUAGUAGGUUUUCCUAAUAUCGUUACCAUAACUAUAGGCACUGUAGCAUAGUCCUUUACAUGUUUUUUGAACUUAAUAGAUAACUCCAUAAUCUAUGCUAAUGCCACGAAAAUUAACUAUUAUUAUUUGAGAGUUUCUUAAUGAUUUUACCCAAUUUCUUUAUAAUUAACUCAAGAUGGUCCGUUGCCGAGAAAUUUAGCUCCGUUUGGAUUGAUCUUUUUUUAAAAACUCCAAUUUUAUAUACAAUACUACAGUAAUACACAAAUAAAAACAAUAUCAAAAACAUCAAAAACAACGUUAAAAACAUCAAAAAUAACCUCAAAAACACAAAAAAAAAUAACCUAAAAAAAUAAAAAACAACUUCAUCUACAGUAAAAGUUUUUCAUCUACAUAAAUAUAAUAAAAUAUUUCAAAAACACCCCAAAAAUAGCUAAUUCAAACUGUAUAAUCUGUCAUGAGAAGUAAUUGAUCUUUAACCAGUAAAAGUGCUCCAAAUAACAUUAUUGAAAAGUUCGUAAAUUCUCCAUAAAAUACAAUCUAAAUAAGAUAAUUGGCCAGCCCUUGUUUGGCCAAUUGACAGCGUGAGAUUCGUCAAAAACAAACCUACACUUGCCAAGAUGUUGGUUUAAAUUUGCCUUGUGGGACUCGAAAAGUAGUUUAAUUCAAAUUUUCUUCAGGAUACUGAGUCAUUUAAGAUCCUUCCUUCAAUUCGCUGGCACCUGUCUGGAAAGUGGAUUCUAGCCAUCUCUCCGUUUCUUCCCAUGUAUUCUUUCAAUCGCAGCUGGAAUAUUGUGGCUCAGUCGAAACAUAUGAUUCUCGACGAAUAAUACACUAGUAUUCAGGAUUGACAACAAGAAUAUGUCCACUAUUUUCCUUAGCACCAACUUGUUUUAUAUGCGCUUGAGGACUAGAUGGAUGUCAGCAUUGUUGUUGUGUGAUUUGGAGCUGGUCUUUGGUUGCAAGUUUGAUGGUACUCGUGAUUUUGUGAAUAUGCCGAUGAAGUGUUUGCGCAUUUGUCUGAACAACUAGUCUGCGUUUAGAUGCAUCCUUUUCAUGUUAGCUUCAUAAAACCUUGUUAUUAGCGAAGAAGAAAUUUAGCUGAAAUUGGAAAAAAGAAAACAUCUUGGUCAUGGCUUUCUGGUACUUACGGUUACUAGAAAGCUCGACAUAUUCAGGAAUCAGAAAAUUUUAUUUAAUUAUACUUUCUUGGAUUAAGUUUUUGUAGUAGAUUCUCCCAAUUCUGAUACUGAACUGAUGGACAGGGUGUUCGUAUUGAAUUUUAUUUGUUAAUUACAUUUUCUUAACAAAAUAUCACUUCUAAUUAAUUGUUUCUUUUUGUGCUUAGCAUUUUUCAGCUUAGACCUCUCUGGCUUCUGCAAUGUCAUAAUUCUCUUGUGUAUUUGCGUGAUGGUGAGUUUUUGAUUAAAUUGCACCUUUAUUCUUUUUCAGGUUUGCAUUCUGUGGUUGCCAUCCCUCGUUUCAUGGUUAUAAUAUUGCUGCUGAAUAGCUGCCAGAAUUGGAAUUAGAAUGCUAUGUGGAUUGCUGAAUCAUCUCAUUCUUGGAAAGGAUUAUGGUCUGAUUUCUAAUCAAUUUGAGUAGAUGAACUAUGCUACAUGGAGAUAUGAUGUCUUUCCGGAAACUGGCCUACCAUACUCCAAGACUAUCUUCUGCAUUACUUCAAUCACUUGCUACUGGUGGUUUGAGGACUUAUGAGAAAUUUUCAGGAGCAGAAUGGAGUUGCAGGCCUUCCACCCUGUUCAGGGAAUUCAAAUCAACCAACUUAAUAGAGAAAAGCAAUUGUUUGGAUUUCCAGACAGGCUUUACUCGUUCUUCACUACCUUUUUCUACUGUUGCAGGAACAAUUCUUGUCCAGGCUCGAGACCCAGGCAAACUGUGCCAGGAGUUAGAAGUUGCAAUCGAGGAACUCAGACUAAGUGAUGCUUGGAAUUUAUACAAGCAAUACAUGCAUAUGGAGGGAUUUCCUAGGAAAUCAAUUGUCAAUGUGCUUGUAGCUACGUUGGUAGAAAGUUUAGAUGUUCAAUGGCUGGAGAAGGCUUAUGCAUUGUUUGAACAAGCCUCAGAAGAGCACAAGCAGAACCUCUUUGAAAAGGAGACUCUAAUUUAUCUCUCUUUGGGACUUGCUAGAUGUGGACUGCCUGUUCCUUCAUCAACUAUUCUGAGAAAGCUUAUUGAGAUGGAGCAAUUUCCACCCAUUAAUGCUUGGGCUACAAUCCUGGCAUAUAUGUCACAGACCUCUCCUGGAGCAUACAUUGCAGCUGAGUUGGUUCUUGAGAUUGGUUAUUUAUUCCAGGAUGGAAGGGUGGACCCACGUAAAAAGGUCAAUGCACCAUUGAUAGCCAUGAAACCCAAUACAACUGCAUUUAGCAUUGCUGUGGCCGGUUGUCUUCUAUUCAAUUCUGCUAGGAAAGCCGAGCAACUACUUGACAUGGUGCCUCGGAUCGGUUUAAAAGUGGAUGCUACCUUGUUGAUCAUUAUGGCUCAUGUGUAUGAAAAUAACGGACGAACAGAAGAGCUGAAGAAGCUUCAGAGGCAAAUUGACGAAUCUUAUGGUGUAAGUGACUUACAGUUUCUCCAGUUUCAUAAUUGCUUACUCUCAAGUCAUCUAAAAGUCGGGGAUCUAGAUUCUGCAUCUCAAAUGGUGCUGGAAAUGCUUCACAGGGCAAAGAAAGCGCAAAGUUCUUUUGGGGCAACCACUUCAGCAUUCAAAAUGGUAGCAAAUGGUAAUAGAUCAUCCUCUGGACAUGUUUCUAAAGAGGAUUUAGACUGCAGAGAACCAGAUGGAGUGGAAUAUCCUACACUACGCCCUCUUUUGUCUUUUGAAAAUUUCUCUAGAGACAGGAAGUUUUUGAAACUUGAGGCAGAGGCCAAAGAAUUACUUGAUGUUUUGGUUUUCAAGGUACAGAGACAAGUACAAUUAAUAACUACUGAACAUGGUAUUCUCCAGCCAACAGAGAGAUUGUAUGUGAAAUUGGUUAAGGCUUUCUUGGAAUCACAGAGGACAAAAGAUUUGGCAGAGUUUCUAAUCAAAGCCGAGAAAGAAGGUUCUCCAGUUUCUGCAGAUAAUUCUACCUUAAUACACGUCAUAAAAUCAUGCAUAUCCCUUGGAUGGUUAGACCAGGCUCAUGAUCUGCUUGAUGAAAUGCGCUUGGCAGGUAUUAGAACUGGUUCUUCUGUAUAUGCCGACCUCCUAAAAGCAUAUUGUAAAGAAAAUCGAGCCGGAGAGGUAACAUCAUUGCUUAGGGAUGCCCGUAAAGCUGGAAUACAGCUAGAUGCAAGCUGCUAUGAAGCAUUGAUCGAGUCACAGGUGCUCCAAAAGGAUACCCAAGGGGCCCUUUGUCUGUUCAAAGAGAUGAAAGAGGCUAAAAUACGCAGAGGUGGUCAUCAAGAUUUUGAGAUGCUGGUUAAAGGAUGUAGUGAGAGUGGUGAAACUGAUCUAAUGUCAAAACUCUUGCAGGAAAUUAAGGAAGGGCAUAAAAUUGAUUGUGGAGUUCAUGACUGGAAUAAUGUUAUUCACUUUUUCUGCAAGAAGAGGCUGAUGCAGGAUGCUGAAAAUGCAUAUAAGAAAAUGAAAAGCUUGGGUCACUCCCCGAAUGCACAAACUUUCCACUCUCUUGUAAUGGGCUAUGCUGCUAUUGGGACAAAAUAUACAGAGGUUACAGAAUUAUGGGGUCAGAUGAAGGCUCUUGCCUUUUCCAGCAAGAUGAAGUUUGAUCAGGAACUAUUGGAUGCUGUGCUUUAUACAUUUGUGAGGGGUGGGUUCUUCGUUCGAGCCAAUGAAGUUGUUGACAUGCUUGAGAGGGGAAACUUGUUCAUCGACAAAUAUAGAUACCGAACCCUGUUCCUGAAGUACCAUAAAACACUAUACAAGGGCAAGGCUCCAAAGUUUCAGACAGAAAACCAAAUGAAAAGAAGAGAAGCAGCUUUGAAUUUCAAAAAGUGGGUUGGUCUAAGUUGAAGAAGACAUCAAUGUGGUGAUAUUCUAGGAAUUAACUAUUUCAUCAAGGCUUUCCUGCUUUGAUGAAUUUGUUUUAGCUGGCCAUUGAAAAGAAAACCGUUAACAAAGCUCCCACAAUUUAAAAAGAAGAUUUGCAGAUACCAAGUUCCCAACUGCCGAUUGUGGUCUUUGAACUCCACUUAUUUGGAGGAGUGGAGUUGGUUGAAACCACUUCCCAUUAGUCUUGCCAUGUAAUCUAAGUACUCAUCUUGGUGCCUGCGCAGAGUCCGCUCCGCAAUUGUAUUACCUAGUUGUGAGUUCAGUUAUUUUAGUUCUCCAAAUUCUUCAUUAAAAAAUUUGACUUGACAGUAGUGAAUGAUCUACUAAUUUGUCAAUGGUUUCCAUUUCAUAUUACAUGUAAAUUUGUACAUAUGUAGAACUCGGUUCAUGAUGGGACCGCUUGUUGAACUUCUCAUUGACAAUAACAUCAUCUGAUUUUAUAUCAACAUGGAUAACUAAAGGACUGCCCUGAUCUGCUGAUAAACCAUUUUACUGCAUCCAUUUUAUAUACAUUUGAGAAUUUAUGUGUGCAGUACAAUUUCCUUCUGAACUUGGUGGAGAAUAAUCCAGAACACUAGAAGCAUGAAUAAUUUUCAUAUUUCUCAGCUGUACCUGCAGCAGUGCCUUGAUGAAAUUGUUAUUUGCUAGACUCUUGCUCCUUUCCUUUUCCUUAUUCUGAUGACACGUAUAAUCAUGUUACUUAAGGGACUCUUUUUUGCCGCAAAUUUUCGAAAGAAGAUAGCAAGGUGUUGUGCGUCAAAUUUGAGGUGCUACCUAAGGCUUACUCCUUUAUGGAGAUUUGAAAAAAAGCGAAGGGGAGUAUAAUUGAAAAACUUCUUUUCUGGGUGAAGAAUAUGUAAAAGGCAUUUUGGGAAGCGUCCAUUUGAAUUUUAAUCUGAUUGCUUCAAAAAAGCCGUCGAUUUGAGAAUUUAUUCGUUGUUCUUCAUUUUUGCAUGUUCUAUAGUCACCUGAAGCCCGGGGAACUAGACUGCGACAAGUCGUCGCUAAUAGUCAAUAACGAGCUAACACGAGUCGGCAUUAACGAAAUAGUCUAGUCAGCCUAGGAAGGGAAGGAACGAUUUCUGCACACGUUGACCCAUGGAAGACUUUUAAAUGGAUUGUGAAUGAGCGAACAAAGAUAAGAAAUACUACUUAAAAGCUCUCCUUGAGCGAAGAUUAAUAAAGAUUGCGAGUAAGUCGCAAAGAAAAAGAUUUAAAGCUCUUACUGGAUGUGAGUCAAGAAAUCAAAUCUCUUAAUUUGUAUUUUUUUCGGACUUUUUUGAAAGUAUUCGGACUUGUCCAGUCGCGAUUUAAUUCUUUCUAUAUCUCUCAUUGACUCCUUUAGAUCCACCUUUUUUACUUAAUGUAUAAUAAAAAUUAUUGUAUCGAAAAAAAACAACAAAGAUAGGAAAGAGGUAAAAAUCUGUUAUUGCCAAUUUUAUAAACCUGGUCUUGUCUCCUGUUAUUGACUCAUUAAUUGUUUGCAAAUUGCAAAUGUUAUUUGAAAAGCAUACCGCUGCCUGGUUUAUGUUGGCUUAGUUAACAUAUUGGAUAGCUCUAUUUUGUCAAAUAAUAUUUGGCUUGCAUCAUAAACACAUUUCCCAACCCACCUUUUUAUAUUCUCAACAAUAUUUUUAUCUCAUCACAAAAAGUAUAACAGUAUUUAUUUCAAAUAAUACUCUAUCCAAACAAACAAACCCAGUGUUUGUAAAAAAUAAAACACAAACUUUUUAGGAAACAAAUUCCUCACAACUCAAAGGAAAGAGUUUGCUUCUUAACUAGAUGCAAACCCAGAUUUUUUUUCUAUUUUUGAAGGAAAGGUACUAGGAAAACAAUAAAAUUAUAUGUCAAUUUUAAUUAAGUUUGAGAAGUUAGGACUGUAGUUUUUGGACCCGUUUCCUUUCAAAGCCAAAAAUAAAACAAAAACAAAAAUUUUUUUUGAACAUUUGAUGGCUUAUACAAAUGGAAAUUUCCGUCCAAUAAUGUAAAAAUAGGGUCGCGAAAUAAUGACCAAACUUAUGCGCUACAAUUUUAAGUCAUCCCUUAGAGCGCCAUUUUUUUUUUUUUUCCUUUCAACAACAAAAACAAAUUAAUUAGUUAAUCAAUAACAAACAUACAUAAAUUUGGCCAAAUAAAACUAGAUUGCACAGCAUAUGUUUUAGAAAAGCUGAAUAACAAAAUUUUGUAAAAAAUAGACUUUCAACAAUAGCAAACAAUUCUAGAGCAGGAAAACAUACAAAAAUUCAAUAUUCCUGAGACCAUUGAGUUGGAGUUCUUGAAUGUUCCUGGAACCUAUUCUCUCUUCCCUUUAUCAGAGCAACUCUGAUAUACAAAGUUCAACAAUUUAUAUUGUUUGAUAAUUUUGUUCUGCUUACCCAUUCUCACCCUCAUUUUUAUACAAUAACAACGUGAAUUUUGAAAUUCUUAAAAUUAGGGGAUAAAACCACCUCUCUCUCUCUCUCUCUCUCUCUCUCUCUCUCUCUAUGGGGGAUAGAAUAAUAGCAAUUUUAUUAAUGAGAUAGUUGAAAAUCAUCCGUCACGAUUUACUUGACAAAGUCACGAGAGAUAAAACUAUUUUAACAUCGAAUUCAAAUACAAAUUAAUUAUGAAUAGAACAUAACAUUCUUGAAUUUGGCUAAAACUAAUUGAAACCACCAGCCUCUUGGAUUAAUGUUCAAUCCAAUCCGAUUAAGAUUCAAAUUCAUCAAUUUGAUCAACAAAAUAGCUUUUCCAAAUGACCCAUAAAAUAGCCUGUGGAUGUUGAUCAAUUAGAGGUGCUAGAAUAAACGCUAUUAAAAGUUCUUAUAGUAGUGUUUUUGGUAAUUAAUUUUCCGUACCUUAAGUGGCUCAAAUUUUGAUAACUUAAAAGUACUUUUUAUUAAAAACACUUGUGUCAGAAAGACUUCUUUAUAUGCCGUCAUAAUCCCAAAUGAGACCUUAGAUUGAUUCAACAAUAGAAUUUUGAGACAACAUUCCCAUCAUCAACUCCACAGUGGAAUUUUGAGGUAAGGAUAAGGAUUCCAAAAUUUCAUAUAUAAAUUUGCUUCUAUUUUUUUGGUUCCAUUAAUGAAAAAAAAAACAAUUAUUCAAUGUACAUUAACAGCAAACCUACUCGUGUCAAUCAAGUUUUCAUAGUCCAAUGAAUAAGAUGACUAAAAGAAAUCAUGGUACGCAAUUCAAUUUUCGUCUCCUCUUUUUUUCCUAAGUCCAAAGGACUUUUAAUAUUUUGACAAACCUAAACCCCUCGAGAACCCACAGAACCCGGCAAUUUUCGUCUCCUCGCCCACUUCUUUUUCUCCUUCCUCUAAUCUCAUGUGACAAAAAAAACAACUAUUAAAAAAAUGGUAGCAGAAUAGCAACGCAAUUUCGACCUCGUCAUGCCCGACAAAUUGAUUAGUAGUCAAAUCCCAUGACGGCAGCUCCAAAGACUCCGAAGUUUGAAAAUUCAAUUCAAACGGACUACCAAAAAUAGCCAACCUUUGACUUUGUCGUAUUCUAGAAACCAAGCACAUUACUACCAGUAUUAUAUUUAUUAAAUGAGGGUACUAAUUAUAUUUAACUCUCCAUUUCAUUAGUUGGACCAAAUAAAAGAUUGUCGACCAUUAUUCUUCUGAAUCUCAAAGCAUCUCCAAACUUGCACCUGCCCUGCAAAAUUGACGUUUCCCUUUUUGCCCUUUUUGCUAAAGGAAAAACUGGAUCUGAACAAAUGUACCACAUGGCAUUUCGAAAGACUCCAAAAAAUUAGGUGAAAAAGAAAACGGAUCAGCCCAAAGUGGAAAGCUAAACUAAGCAUUUAAUUAUACAGUAGUUAAUUUUUUUUUUUUUUAAGAAUAAACAGGAAGUCUCGAGUCUGGGAAUGUGAGUUUGAUAAAACUGAAAUUUGAAAAUUGAGAUAUGAAAUCUGAAGUUUAAAUCCAUUAAACUGUUAAAUUGUUAAAUACUAAAUAUGAUAUAUUUGAGUGUAUAUCACAUUAAGUGAUAAGUGCGAAUUUUGUUUAGAAAAUUCAAUGUCAUUGAAUUAAUUCAAAUGUUCAAUUUUUUUUAUUAUUAAACAUGUUUGAACAUGUUAAAAUUUGAAUCCAUUCAUUUAAGUGAUGAAUUAGGUUAUCAAAUAGGGUCUUACACUCUCUCAUUCGGACCAUCUAACUCGUCUCUCUCCAUAUACACAGUAUUGUUCUUGUUAUAGUAUAAAAAAAUAAAUCUAGUAGUACUUAAUUAUUAUGAUUAAUUCCAUUUUGCACCCUUCAACUAUAUUCAAAUUUUUGCUUUGGUCCUUUAACUUUAAAAUGAGACUCUUUAGUUUUUAAACUAUAAAAUUUGUCUCACUUAAAUAACAUGAUUAAGGAAGUGAGACAGAUUUUAUGUCUAAGUGAGUAUAUUUUGAGGACUAGAUUGAGACAAAUUUUAUAUUUUAGGAACUAAAAUGGACAAGUUUUAUAUUAUAGAGACUAAAGUAUGACAAAUUUUAUAAUCAUUCUAAAGUUUAGGAACUAAAAUGAGAAUUCAGGUCCAGUUAAAGGAUACAAAGUGCAAUUAACCCUAAUUAUUACGAAUUGUCCGCCUUAUUAUUUUGACUGUACGAAUUGUAGCAUUCGGCAAUAGUUGCCAUGCACAAGCUCCCAAAUAUUCUGAAUCUGGGAGCAUCUUCGAACUUUACAACCCUGCAAAAGGCGCUGAAUUUAGCAUUUGGCAAAAAAAAAAUUUAUACGUGUCCGGUAGUUAGUGGAAAACUGGGUUGAAUCAAACUUUAUGUUUUUCAUAAAUAUAUUUUUUUAAUCAUCUUUUUAUUUCAUGCAUACCAACUUGUUACGUUACUUUUUUAACAAAAAUUUCAAAAAAUAACAAUUUAAUUGACCUAAUCAAAAUUUAUUAUUAGUAUUCUUAACAAAUUCUUCUAAUUCCUGGGUGUGUUCUAGUGCAUUCAAAUAAUAUCAAAGGCAAAAAUAUAUCACUCACAAAACACAAAAAUAUGUAUAAUUUUGCUUUUUUUUUUGGGAAAUUGGUAUUUAGAAUUUCAAUAAUGACACAGCAAUUUUUACCUCAAUUAGUAUUAAAUCUGUCUUUUCAAUAAAUCAUUCCCAUCUUGAAUUAAAAUUGAAAGAUAGUAUUAAAAAAUUUGUUAUGGCAUUAAAUUUGUUGUCUGAACAAAAGUUUUUGCGGGUAAAUGAAUACUAGAAGGACGAGGCGGGUGGUCCCAACCUUUUUAACUACUCACCGGCGAAAACAAACUGAAACAGACAGCAUACUUAUUCCAAACAAAAGUCUUGAGUCCUGACUUAAUGAGCCCCUUUCUGCUGACAUUUCAUUCGUUCCUCCAUUAGUCCUCUCGUUUACACGUAGUCACACAGUAGCUCCGAACAUAAACACCUUCUAUUACAAUCAAACUAAUUGAACAGAUUGUUGAUCGAUAUUUGAGGUAUUGCGAGAUGGGUUCUGUGGAGGAGGAGAUGAAGGAAGAUUCUAAAGCUGUUGAAGAUAGCAACCUUGAAAUGGGUUCAGAAAAGAAGGAGAACAGAGCAGAAAUGCAGAAGAAAGGAAACAAGGAUAAAAGGAAGAAGAAGUUGAAACAGAGGCGAAAUUUUAUUCUGCGAAGAUUCAGUUGUAUCAGAAUGGACGAUGAAUAUCCGACGGUUGAUGAACCGACUGGCGAGGGAAGUUUUAAUAUGCAGGCUGUUACGGAUCGUACACCGACUCACUUAAUUGUUAUGGUUAACGGUAUUAUUGGAAGGUUAGCUUUUUGUUUUUUUUUUUUGGUACUUUAGUUUUUCAUAUUUUUGGUACGUUGUUAUUCAUAAGUUUAAAAGUUUCAAAGAAUUAAAUUAAAUUGGCAAAGUAUUAAAUGUUAACUAAAAUUAAUGUUUAGCUCUUGGCUUUUUUCUCUUCUUUUUUUUUUUUUUCGGGCGGCGCGCCUUAGUGUUAGUGUUUAGCACUUGGAUUUUUAUUUGUGAUCCUUUUGUAUUGCAGUGCACAGAAUUGGAGGUAUGUUGCAAAACAGUUUGUGAAGGCAUAUCCCAAGGAUGUUCUAGUGCAUUGUAAGUUGUAUCUUCAAUAAAUGUAGUGCUUAGAUAAAUUUGCAUUGUUUGUUAUGGUGACUUACUAAGCUACAUGAGCUUGAAUUUAACUUUGUCGACCAUCUGAUUUGAUUUUAAUUCAGCUGGAGCAAGUCAGUGUAGAUGCAUUAUACAAUCAUACAAAUGAUGUCGAAUUAACGUGUUAUUUUCAGGCAGUGAGUCUAACUCAGCAAUGCUGACAUUUGAUGGGGUUGAUGUAAUGGGAAAGAGGCUGGCUGAUGAGGUUUGUUGUUCAUGGCUUUUGUCUUAGCGCUUAACUAUUGCUUUUGCAAUUCAUUAUUGGGCUAAUUACCAAAAUCUAUCCAAAUUUUCAGGUGUUAUCUGUUGUUCAAAAGCAUCCAAACCUUCAGAAGAUAUCAUUUCUAGGUCAUUCGCUUGGUGGCCUGGUAACAAGGUAUGCUAUAGCUGUGCUUUAUGGAAAAGAUUUUACCAGAAAAUCCCACGAAGAAAAUGGAGAUUGUAAGCUUGACGAAUCCAAAGAAUCAUUAUCUGAAGACAAAUAUAAAGGCAAAAUUGCUGGACUGGACCCUGUGAAUUUUAUAACCUCUGCAACUCCUCACCUUGGUUCAAGGGGCCAUAAACAGGUGAAUAAUUGCUAGCAUCAAUUUUCUGGAUUUUGAUUUUGAUGAUUAUGACCUCUAACAGAUUAAGCAUUAUAUGUGCGUACAAAUGACGAGCAGGGAGAAGUGCUCAUAUACUACAGUAUGAACCUUUUCUGUAUGCACCUUCUGUUUUACUUAACCACUCCAACAAUGUAGCAGUGCCAUCAUGGCUGCAGUGUUUCUGGUUUAAGAUCUGAGAUUUAUCUGCUAGUUUGUUCUUUAAUAUUUCUAUCAUAUGUUGUUAGAAUUAUAUCUCCUAGUUUAAAGGUAAUGUAGCAGCACCAAGUAGCCAACAAUUGGAACUUUCAUAGGCUGCAUGCAUUGCUUUUGUGUGUUCUUGCACUCCAGUACUCUAGUAAUGAUUCUUUUAUCAUUUCAUGGACAUGCAGGUCCCUUUGUUCUGUGGAUUGUACACCUUGGAGAAAGUAGCAUCACAUACAGCAUGGAUACUUGGAAGAACCGGAAAACAUUUAUUUCUGACUGACGGUCAUGAUGGGAAACCUCCACUUCUGUUUCAAAUGGUCAAUGAUUCUGAAGAUCUUCAAUUUAUGUGAGCAAACAUGAGUGAACUUAUUGUCCCAAAGAAUUAAACAAAAAAGAAUGAACUUUUUAUUACUUCUUUUUUCAUGUGUCCAACAGAAUAUCUGAAAAUUUUCUUCUAUUUCUUUACCAUUUAUUUCUUGUUCCUGGAUUUGCAGAUCCGCAUUGCAAUCAUUUAAGCGACGCGUGGCCUAUGCAAAUGUACGACAUGACCGUAUCCUGUUAUACCCUUGAAUUGAUGGAGCUUUUCCACGUUAGUAGAAAUUAUUAGAUACCUUAUGCAGUCAAGAAACUGUUCAAGUUACAGAUAUUGAAGUAUAACAUUGCUGCAGGUUUAAUUACUUUCAUUUGUUUUAAAAUCUCUGCCAUACUUGAAAAACUUAACUAAGUGCAGAUCUUGUUGGGUGGAGUACAUCAUCUUUGCGACGCCGGAAUGAGCUUCCAAAGGUAAACAUUUAGCAUUUAAAGUCAGAAAGAUGUUUUCAUCUAAAAUGAUUUUCUGACAGUUCAAUUAUAUUUUCAGCGGCGCAAUCUGUUAAAAAAUGAUAAGUACCCACAUAUCGUGAACAUAGAGACUGCAAAAACAGCCAUUUCACAAGAAGAGACGGAUGUUCGAGUCGAGGGAUUUAGGAUUGCGGACAUGGAAGGUUUGUUUUUUCCUAUAACUCCCUUAACCGAUAAAGUCUCUUUUUUAUCAGAGGUCUUCAAUUGGGAGUUUGACCUGCAAUCCAUUUAUCAUUAGAUAAUGGUGUUGAUCCUGCAAAGUGUAAAUAGUUAAGUUUUGGUGGAAAUAUGUUGAUGAUUUUGGUCUAAAUCCAGGAGAGACCACUGUUAAAUUUAUGGUUACACAUCAUGAUGAUACACAAGUAGCAGUUUCCAUGUAGCUUUUCAGACCAGGAUUGAGAGCCAAUGAUAUGCAAUGUUGCAUGAGCAAUUAAAUGUGACUUUGAAGUGUAAGCUGGUCUUAGUAAAUCAAUUUUAUGAACUCUUGGCGGAAAACAUAAUCCCUCUUAUUAAACUAUCCAGAACAUUAAUCCUAUCUGUAUGUUAGUGGCAUGAGAAAACGUCCAGAUUUUGGUAAUUUGACACGUCUCAACAGUGUGCUGUACACUCAGUGACAUUGAGAGAACUGAGUUUAAAGCAUCCUAUAUGCGGAUCGGUGAUUUAUAUUUAUCGAAUCCAUCUCAUGUUACCGUAAAUUAAACUGUUUAAAAUGGUGUUUUAAGUGGCUUCUCUGUAUUCUUGAGCUGGUAAAUAAACUCCAUGUGUCUUUAGGCAGUGCCGAACUGCCAAUCGGGCUGAAGAUUAUAGUCUGAUGAGAGAGUAGAUGAUGCUAUUGAUGUCGAAUGAAAAAGCAAUUCAAGAUUCUUAGAAAGGAUUUUGGAAAUUUCAGAAGAGAUUAGAGAUUGCUGUAGUCUUCAUGUAACUGAGAGUUCCAUUUUUAAUCCCGUGUUUUACCAGACUUGGAUAAAAUGAAGUUCUGUGUCAAAAUGUGGGCUUAUCAAGUGUUGGACAAUUUAAAUUCUUUUGGUGGGAAGUUGGACCGGACCAUUUUACAGGCCAUGUUAUCUUCUUUCGAUCGCAUGGUCGAAAAUUCAGAAAUUAAUCCUAUGGUGGAGGACCAUAUGAACUACUUUAGUUCUUUGCAACUACAGCCACUUCUUUUGGUGACAUCAGGACCCAAAACAUGGCAUGAUGUCAUGAGAACAUAUACAUCUGGAAUUAUAUGCCAAUUAUUUUAUUGACACGCUCACUUGUCGAUUUUCUUAGCAUUGAGCUGUUUGCAUCUGCUUAAAUAUUUUUCACAGAUUGUUCAUCCAUUUUGAUUUCGUGUGAUGUUUGAUUCAUUCAUUUAAUCUCUAUUUUCGAAAUCUUAGAGGUCAUGCUGAGAAGUUUAACAAAAUUGAGCUGGGAACGUGUUGACGUCAGUUUCAAAGGAAGUAAACAGAGAUAUUUUGCUCACAACACCAUUCAGGCAUGUAUUCAACCCCUAGCUCCACAACGAGUCAAUAAUGCCUUUGCUCGCUGCAGGAACUUCCAAAUCAUGUGUUUUUUGCUUGCUUAGGUCUUUUAUUCUGUCAUUUUUGUCUCAUUUACGUUAGACGCGUGAAAGUUACCAAUUUGAGUUUCUCCAUUGAACAGCCAAAUAAAUGAACAUCCAAGCACUAGAAUUCCAGUUUACACAAAUCUCUUCCAUUGCUCUGAGUCCGUAGUUAGAUGCUUACUGCCUUACUGAUAACACUUGACAAUGGCAUCAUCUAUCUUCUUGUUUAUGAUGUUAGAGGUGUUAACCAUCUAGGAUGACGCUGAAUGCUGCUACGGUGCAAUCAACUAAUAUAAUUAUUUUCUGCCACUGCUGCAAGUUCUGUGGUUCAAGAAACUAUUCUUGUUUUCCUACUU
rnacentral:lncRNA from 1 species